rnacentral:lncRNA from 1 species
UCUUCGGCAUUGCAAGGCGGGUUCCGUCUCCGAACACUUCAAAGCAGAUUUUGAACAUAAGAAUUGUGUCCGGCUCUGCAAAACAAACUCCACAUACCUCAGUAGAGAGUAUAAUAUCCCACGAGUAUAAUCUGUUGACAACUCAUAGCACGACAUCACGUCACAGCCCGGUCUUUAUUCUAACCGUUUUUAUCCUGCCCCUCCGUAUUUCGAGGCGCAGUUUUAUUGGCACGUCUUGUCGAAGCAGAGAUCGUGUCCCCUUAUCAUGGGAUUCUCAUCAAUAUGCGCAUGGGUAACCCAACCGUGCCAUCAGCACGGCGCUUGGGAAUUAAGUGAGUUUUAGGGCUAAUGGGAAGGCACACGACUUUUACUGCCUUUAUAAAGGGAUAAGGAUUCCCCUCUUUCACCCACGCCAUCUUCUUCCUCUGUUUAUCCAUUCUCAAGCUCCAGCUCCCAAGCAUCCAUCUCUUCUGCCCGAAAAGCACUCCAACCAUGUCUGGAUCUGGAGCACAACGCUAGUGGAUGGCCUCCUCCGUCAAGGAGAAGGACAUCAAGUAACUAGGGAGGCCGGAUAUCUGGCCAAGAAGAUCGCACACCGUCUCCCGGCGGCGGGACAGAUCAUCCCUGAUGAGGAUACAGACCUAGGGUAGGGUCAUAGGCCUGACCUAUACGUCCUACCCAAGGUCACUACCCUAGAAGAUAAGAAGUUCAAGAGGCAGCAAGGGACCCCCAGUCAAAGAUGUCAAGUACAAUCCACUCGACCAGUCAUGUCACUCGGGAGUCCUCCUACUUAUUGCCACUCAACCAUCUAAGGAAUCACUUGACCUACCAAAGAUCAGGAGUCACUCAGCAUUGCAACUGGCAAGCAUUCACUCUGUAGUCUUUAAGGUCAUUAACUGCACUUAAGGCUGGCGUUACCAGUAAUGCCCCCACUUUAUGUACAUUAAGUUCCUUGUAAUGGAGGGCGGUGAGGGUCCUGGCGUACUCUAUAUAAGCCACCCCCCUCCUCUGGCACAAGGGUUCGCACCCCCUGUAACAUCACAAGCAUAUAAUCCAAUCGACUGCCUCCGGGCACCGAGACGUAGGGCUUCCACCGAGAAGGGCCUGAACUCGUAAACCCUGUGUGUACACCUUCACCAUAGCUGAGAUCUUGCCUCUCCAUACCUACCCCCUUUCUACUGUCAGUCUUAGGACCAUGACAGUUGGCGCCCACCAUGUGGCCGAUGUCUUAGCGACUUGUUGGUGAAGUUGUAAGUUUUUCCAUUCAUCAUCAUCAUGGUUUCCGGUGGCGGAUUGGCUGAGGGCCGCGUGAUCCAUCUUGGCGCGCUCGUUUUCAUCGCCGACGAUUCCGCUUGGCUUCAAGAAGCUCCCCUCGACGUUGAGGAGCUCCCCGUCCGAGGGGCGAUGCACUUUCACGCGUGUGUUCACAGCGUCCUUCUCCGAUAGCCGUCGACUCAGUAUCGGUCGGCUCCGAUGGUGUCUUCCCUCCCUGCUGUUCGCCGCUGCAAGCGAUCCCGUUGGCCGCAGCUUCAACGGUGGGUGAAACACGCGGUGGCUCGACGUUCGGCCACCCAUCAACUCGCGGCAAUCGAGCCCGACGAAACUCUCCAUGGCCUGUUCGAUCUGUCGACUGGCUCUGCGGAGACCGCAUCCGAGUGCGAUAGCAGCGACCCUGCGGCUGAAGUCUUGAUGGUCGACGGACCACGUGGUCCGCCUGGUUUCCGCCAUGAAGACGACGAGGAUGGUGGCGGCGAUCCGUCGCGCGUCCAUGAGGAAUACCAUCCCGAACCCCUUUCUUCGCAGCAGAGGGAAGAACUUCGUCGCCGCAACAUGGAUGCACAUCUCACGCCCAUCGUUGGAGAAACCCCCGAGGCUCGGGCCUUGGAAGAGGUGCGCCUGGCUAAUUUGACUGAGCACACUCGACUGGAGAACCUCCAGCGCGCGCUCGACGAGCAUGCUCGGGAGCGGGUCCCUGAGUCUAGCCGACGACAGCUUUUUCUGCCUCCACCUAUGGUAUACCGCACUCCGAUCCAAAAUCUCACAGCUGCAGCCGAAUAGCAGAGUCAAUUCAACCUUACCAGUCGGAGGCCGGCAGAGGUUUGAUAUAGAUCCGGGCCUUGCUCCGGGCAGCAGGGGAGUAGAACACAGUAGUGUCUUAGUCGCGGAAUAGGAUUCACAGCAGAUCUGUAGUAGCGGAUACAAUUCAGUCGGCUCACAGCCCAAGAUCGCCCCUGUGGCUUGAAGGUCGUGGACAGUAUGAUCAUCAGCUCGACGGUGACAAUCGUCGUCGAGUGCCCACGCAUCCUCUAAGGAGUGCAUCAUAUGUGCCUCGGCAGAACGAUGAUAGACGCCAUCACAUUGGCGAGUGCAGAGCACCAGUCGACCCAAGAGAGUCGGGCUUCGAUUCGAGAUCUAUCCUCGUUCAAGGUCUAGUCGACAGGAACAGAGUGCAUAGAGAAGACCCUAGCAGAGAUCAUCCGAGUGGCAGCAGAGUGCAUGUUUCUGGUCCAGAGUGUUUUAGCAGAGCCAUCAGGGCAGCGGUGAUUCCUCCCAACUUUAGGUUGGCGACCGGAGUCAGUAAGCUCACUGGAGAAUCCAAGCCUGAAACUUGGCUUGAAGAUUACCGAGUGGCUGUGCAGAUUGGCGGUGGAAACAAUGAAGUAGCAAUGAAACAUCUUCCUCUGAUGUUGUAAGGGUCGGCCCGAGUGUGGUUGACUCAGUUAGCUCCAGGCAAUAUAUACAGUUGGGAAGAGCUUGCUCGAGUGUUCGUCAGAACGUUUGAGGGCACUUGCAAGCGGCCAGCAGGGUUGACAGAGUUGCUGCAUUGUGUGCAGAAACCGAGUGAGACUUUAAGGGAUUUCAUUCAGAGGUGGACCACUUUGCAUCACACUGUUGAAAAUGUAUCAAAGCAUCAGGCAGUGUGUGCCUUCAAGGAAGGCGUCAAAUACCACGACUUGGUCCUGAAGUUCGGUCGGACUGGAGAUAUGACUCUGACUUGGAUGAUGGAAAUAGCCACCCGGUACGCUAACGGAGAAGAAGAGGAUCGACUCCGCAGCAGAAAGAGUAAACCAGUCGACCAAGAGGCCGGUGGAGGUAAUUCCAAUCAGAAACAGAAGAGUAAGGCCGAGCCCGCAGCACCCGGUGAGAUUGCAGUAGUGGCUCAAGGAAAGUUUAAGGGAAAACCUAAAGGGCCCUGGCCCUCUAAGAAGGUAAAGGAUCAAGCAAGAAAUGAUGUGUUGGAUUUACCGUGUCACAUCCACACGGAGAAGGACGAAGAGGGUAAUCUGAUCUACCCUAAGCAUACCACUCGACAAUGUCGACUUCUGAUCAAGCAGUUCCGAGAAAAACAGCCCGGUGAGAAGGAGAAAGAGUCGGACAAAGACGAGGACAAAGAAGAAGAUGACGGUUAUCCCAAAGUCAAAUCCACCCUCAUGAUUUUUGCUGAUGUUGAGAGCAAGAGUCGGUUGAAAGUUAUCAAUAGAGAAGUGAAUAUGGUCGCUCCGGCGAUGACGACCACAUACCUGAAAUGGUCUCAGACAGCCAUCGCAUUUGACCAGUCUAACCACCCUGCACGUGUAGCUACCCCUGGGAGGAAGGCAUUGGUGGUCGACCCCGUGGUCGGGGGCACUAGACUGACUAAAGUGCUGAUGGACGGUGGUAGCGGCCUGAAUAUUGUCUAUGCUGAAACCUUGAAGGGGAUGGACAUUCCGAUGUCCAAACUUAGCGAAAGCAAUAUGAGUUUCCGUGGUGUUAUCCCUGGAAAGAAAGCCAAAUCACUCGGCCAGAUCGCUCUCGACGUGGUUUUCGGUGAUUCCAAGCAUUACCGUAAGGAAAAGUUGACAUUUGAAGUCGUGGAUUUCCAGAGUGCUUAUCAUGCCAUUCUGGGUAGGCCUGCCUACACACGUUUUAUGGCUCGACCAUGUUACGUGUACCUCAAGUUGAAGAUGCCUGGCCCCAAAGGUGUGUUCACAGUUACUGGCAAUCGGCAGAAAGGAGAGGAAUGCUUCCAGAAAGGUUCCAAAAUUGCCGAUGCGCAAAUGGCAGCAGUUGAAUUCCAAGAAUAUCAGAAGAAUGCAGAUACGAGUGAUUUGCUCCGAGACAAGAAGCCUACCACAGAUUCUGCAUUUCAGUCGUCUGGUGAAACGAAGCCGAUCCAUAUUCACCCGACCGAUCCCAAUGCCGCACCGACUCAUAUAUCAACGACACUCGACAACAAAUAGGAAGAAGCGCUCAUCCAGUUCCUUCGUGAGAACUGGGACAUCUUUGCAUGGAAACCCUUUGACAUGCCGGGUGUCAGGGCGUAUCUCUCUGUGGCCAUGAGCACCUAUGGGGCACGGGGGGCCCCUUCUAGUUCGGCAAGGGGGGCGGAGGCCGUGCGCAGAUCAGAUCGAGGUCGCGCGCGCGGGGGAGACGGGCGAUUUUUACCCAGCUUCGGAGCUCUCCGGAGAGAUAAAACUCCUACUGCUGCCUUGUGUUCGUAUUCGAUUUUGCUCGAGGGUGCGAGCGUAUGGUGGUGCUGCGUGUGUUGAAUGGACCGAACCCCCUAUACGUGCGCAUGGGCCUCCCUUUUAUAGUCUGAAGGGGGCACCAACAGGUGGCAGCAUAGAAAAAGGGGGUAGAAUGGUAAAAACGCAGGUUGGUACAACAGGGACCAACAGUGUCCUCUACCUAACUCUGACGGCAGGGGACAAGGGCAUUUAAUGCCCGUCCGGUCGCCCCAACAGUGCAGAGAAGCGACCGUUAAGUGAGCCACCGGUUGCCACGAUGGCAUCUCUGUCAGCUCCGCUUGCCACCUCGCCCCGCAUGGCUGCGUCGUGCCUCGCCACAUGCCCUUGGGAUGGCCCUGUGAUGACACGUCGUCGGAUGCGCUGGAGUUUGGGUGGCAGCCUUGCCGCGGCAAGUGCCUUGCCGCGGCCCUUCUCUUGUUGUGCCGGCAAGCUUGCCGGCCGUCGGGCAUUGCCGGGACGUGCGGGGCGCCGCGGCAUGUCUUCUGGUGAUGCCUUGGUUGGCCUUCCCGGCAAGCUCCUCUUGCCGGGGCCUUUGUUUUCUUGGUUAGUACUUUGUUCUUGAAUGGCAGUAAUAGGAAAUGGUGUAGGGUCUUGGCGGGCACCCGGCAAGCCUUGCCGCGGGGCGCUACGACUGCCCGUGCACAAGUUCGGGGUACUAAGGUGCCCCCCUACUUUAGUACACCGAUAGGAUCCCCCAGGCCUGGGCCAUACACAGUGCCGAGCGUUGUUGGGCCAGGCCCAAAAUAGUGCACGGGCACGCGUGGCCUGGGCCCACACAGAAUCGGACUUCGUGUCCACCGCGUCCUCCCGCAACGGCACGCGUCGAUUGCGGCGUCGUGGGAGACGUGGGUGGUGCGUGCGAUCUUUAAGGCGUCCACCCCUGUGAUCACGGGGCAGGGCGAGGUCACUUCAUCCGUCGCCCCGGCUUCGCUUUUUCGCCACGCGGCUCCCAUGCGCGGGGGGUCGUGGGCGGCAAAGGUGGGAGACCGAGCCGUCAUGGGCGGAGAUGUUGAGUCGGCCCCGCUCCUCUGCCCUCCCCGUGCUCUGAUUGGCGGAGCGGGGCGGCCGAGCCCCCCACCUCGCUCCUUAAAAAGGGCGGAUGGGGAGCACAAAAAUCCCGCACUUCCUCUUCUUCCUCUUUCUUCAACUUCCGUUACUCUUCCUCCCAUCUGCCAUGAAGGGAGGGAACCCUGGUCCUUCAUCUGUGGUGGCGAGGGUCGCCACCAGGCAGCGCACCUCUCCCUAUCCCGCGCCUGUAGCAGCGGAGCCAGCCACGAGGGGAAGAGGGAGGGGGCGAGGCCGCGGACGAGGUCGUGGACGUGGUCGGAGCGCUCGGGGGAGAGGCGGCCGGGGUGGUGCGCCAUUCCCGUCUCCGCCGGCAGCUGCUUUCCUUGAGGCGGUCCACACCGGGGACGACCCCUGGGAGUUCUUCGUCAAGCUGCGUCGGGCACCUCGUCGCCGCCUCCGGCUACCGGCCCCGUUCGCGAGCGCGAUGGAACCGGAUCCGCCCGAGAUGUUGGAGUUGCGCAUGAGGGGCUGCGGGAUCAGUGGCACUCGAGUUAGUGUCGUAUCCCCAGCCCCCGGCGUGAUGUACUUCGAUCAAGGGUCGAAGACGUUCGCCCGCAUCCACAGCUUGACGACGGGGUUUACCCUCCAUUUUAAGUUAAUGGAGGGUGACCUUCUCGCCGUCAAGGUCUUCGGGGACUCCGGCACCCGGGCGAGAUGCUGCGUGGACAGCUCCUCCGAUAGCGAAGGCCCCUCCUCGAGCGAGAGUGGCAAGGAGGGGAGCGACAGCGACGACGAGGACGGCGGGUCCGACUAGGCGUCGGAUGCCGCCUCGCGUGCCACCGGUGACCCCAUCAUCCGGGUCGCCGGCCUUCUGAACUCCCCGGGGCCGUCUCCUUGGGCGGCUGGCGUAGGGAGGCUGCGGAAGAGGAAGAGGGGUGGCGGCAAGGCCGUCAAGUCGGAGUACGAGGGCGAGGUGCCCUCGACAGCGUGCUGACGUCCUUCCGCCCCGUCUUCGAGCUCUGCCUCCGGCGCCUCCGUCUCCGCCAAGCUCCUGGCCGGCCCCCGGGAUGUUCUCUUGGUGUCUUCUGGCACCCGUAGCUCACCUAGGCGCCCCUUUUGCCCUCCCCGGCAAGCUUCUCUUGCCGGGGCCUCCUUGACCUACCUCCUGGAGAGAGAAACAGGAGAGGGAUUACGGGCAUCUUAUCUUUCAAUCUGUAAGCCUUCGGGCCUUAGCUGUAUUUAAAAUUUGUAAUCCUCUCUAUCAUGUUUUUCAUCCUCCAAGGACUUGUACUAAAUUGGGAUGUUUUUUUAAUGAAAAGGGGGGAACGCUUGCCGGAUUAAGUCCUUUACUUGAUUUUGUGCCUUGUAUGUUCCCGCCCUACGCUUCUAGGGAACUUGCCGGCGCAAACACGCUUGCUGAGUGCGGAACGUCAGCAGCCCGCUGGCGGUGUUGCUUCCGGCAAGAAACCUUGUCGGGCCAGUUGCAGCGCGCUUGUAUUGUUGAGCGGACUCAGAAACAAACCAAGGGCGCAACUUGGCCGCGACUCGGCCCCUCCGCGCACGGGUUUUUCUUUACAAGGCACACUCGUUCAAGGACGCGGCCCCGCCUUCCCCAGUCCAUAAGAGGAUGCAUGAUGAGGGAUGAAAAACUUAUCUGACGGCGCAGCCCCCGGUGACUCUAGCUUGCUGGGGAUGAAUCUUGGCAUUUGCAGCCCCCGGCAACUCUGGCCCCGCCGAGACCUAGGUGCCGGUGCGCCUUCCCUUGCCCUUGCCGCUGACGCUGCGGCCUCCGGGGACCAUGGCCUGCCGCGAAGGAACUUCGGUACUUGCAGCCCCCAGCGAAGCCGGUUUGCCGGGGCCCCUGUGCCAGUGCGCCCUUCUGGUUUUUUCUUGUCGCUGUUAUCAUAGUCACGAAAAUAACUGAGACAGCUCCGUAAUAAGUUACUCUUUCGUGGGAUGACUUUUUUUUAGGUUGGGCAACGCAAUGCCAUGCUUCGCCCUUCGUAUGUUUACACUCUACGCUUUUUAGGGGACUUGCCGGCGUGUACACACUUGCUGAGUGCGGAACAUCAGCAGCCCGCUGGCGGUGUUGCCUCCGGCAAGAAACCUCGUCGGGCUAGUUGCGGCGCGCUUUCAUCGUCGAGCGGACUCGAAACAGAUCAAAGGCGCAACUUAGCCGCGAGUUGGCUCCUCUGCGCACAAGUUUCUCAUACGAAGGACGUCCCACGGCAAGGCUUUCCAUGUUACGCCCUCUACUUCAUUACAUCCCUUGUACGUUUUUACCCUAUGCUUUUAGGGAACUUGCGGGCGCUAACACACAUGCUGAGUGCGGAACAUCAGCAGCCCGCUGGCGGUGUUGUUUCCGGCAAGAAACCUUCUCGGGCCGGUUGCAGCGCACUUGUAUUGUUGAGCGGACUCGGAAACAAAGCAAGGACGCAACUUAACCACGAGUUGGUUCCUCCGCGCACAGGUUUUUCGUACAAGGGACGAAUGCUCGAGGAAUAUAACAUAAAAGCUUAGGACUAAAAAGUGCUCUGUACUCAAGCUUGGGUGACUUAGCUUUUCCGUCUUUAGCGAUCCGCCGAGGCCGCACUUCCCCUUGACUUCCUCCCUUGUAUUUUUUCGCCCUCACGCUUUCAGGGAACCCGCCGGCGCAAACACGCUUGCUGAGUGCAGGACAUCAGCAGCCCGCUGGCGGUGUUGCCUCCGGCAGGAAGAACUCGUCUGGCUAGUUGCAUCAUGCUUUCAUCGUCGAGCGGACUCGAAACAGAUCAAAGGCGCAACUUAGCCACGAUUCGACCCCUCUACGCGCAGGUUCUUCAUACCAGGUGCGGAUUUUCAGGGAAUGCAACUCAAAAGUUCGAAACUGGCAGCUUUCUUUGCCUCACUGGCCAGUAGAGCUCGAUGGCACGCCCUCGACAGCAGUGCGGCACUCCGAAGAGGCGUGCUUGUCAGAGCGGGCACCAGAGCUGUUCUUGCCGGGCUUAGUCUUUGGUUGGUCUGCCUUUGCCUUCUCGCACUUGCCGGUGGAGCUCGAUGGUGCGUCCUCGACGGCAGCGCAGCACUCCGGGGAGGUGCGCUUGCCGGAGUUGGCAUCAGAGCUGCUCUUGCCGGACUUGACUUUCUUCUUCCCCCGGGGAGCUUCAGCGGCAAGUGGCUUGCACUCUGCUGCGGCUGCUGCUUCCCGGUAGAUCUUGUCGGCGCAGAUGAGUGCAUCCCUCUUGUCACCUUGGACAGAAAUGGCACUCAUUGGGCCAGGCAUCUUGAGCACAUUGUAUGCGUAGUGAGAGGCCGCCAUGAACUUGGCGAGCGCGGGCCGGCCGAGUAUCCCAUUGUAGGGUAAUGGGAUAUCAACCACGUCGAAUGUGACCCUCUCCGUCCUGAAAUUCAGCUCGCUGCCAAACGUCACUGGCAAUGUGAUCUUCCCCUUGGGCUUGCUUCUUCCCAGAUUUAUCCCUUGAAAGGUACCAGUCUCUUCGAGCUCGCUGUCGGGGAUCUGGAGCUUCUUGAGCACUGCGAAGGAAAUCAGGUUCAGGCCGGCCCCGCCGUCAACCAACAUCUUCGUGACCUUGAGGUUGUGGAUUGUUGGUGAGACCAACAUUGGCAAGCACCCGACCGCAGUGAUGCGAUCAGGGUGGUCCUCAACGUCGAAGAUGAUGGGCGUGCUGGACCACUUCAGAGGCUUGCGCGCCUCGACGGACGGCUCCGCUGCAUUCACUUCUCACACCCACUGCUUGAGUUGGCGGUGCGAGGUGUGCAGAGAGGCGCCGCCGUCGAUGCACAACACCUCUGUCGCCUUCUGAAACUCUUGGUCAUCGGUCUCAUCUUCCUCCAUCUCAUCAUCCUCAUCCUCAUCUUCGUCCUUGUCACGGCCGCGGGGAGGCCUAUCUCCUUGCCGCGGCUUGGCCUUGCCGCGGUACCCUCCCCGGGCGGGAAGCUUCUUGCCGGAUCCUCCGCCACCUCCCUGGGCUCUCUCCUUAUCGCGGCGCUCGUACUCAGCUUUCUGUAGCUCCGCCAUCUGCUCGACUUUCUUGCAGGUUUGGAGAUCGUGGCCCUUGGUGCGGUGGAUCUUGCAAUACCACUUGCCGGAACCAUCCUGCUUGUCGGCGGCUACCACGGCCUCGCCGGAGUCAUCGGCUUUGGCCUUGUCGGAGCCGCCUCCGUUGCCGGAAUGCUCAACAGCUAGCACAUCCUUAGCCUUUCUCUUCCUGUUGUUCCGCCUCCGGUUCUUCCUUGCCGGGGCGGCAUCCUCACUGUCAGAUCCUUCUGCUCCUGCAACCUCUCCGGGGAUUUUUCUCCCCUCCUCAGCCCGUGCGCACUUGUCGGCCAGAGCGUAGAGCUCGCUGACGUCUCUGAUCUUGCACAUCGCCAUCUCCUCCCUCAUCCUGCGGUUACGCACGUUCUGAUGAAACGCGCUGAUAACUGCGGCAGGGUGGACGUCUGGGAUGUUGCGCUGCACCUGGCUGAAUCUCUGUAUGUACUUGCGCAGGGGCUCCCCCUCCUUCUGGACGAGCAAGUGGAGGUCACUCUCCUGGCCAUGAGGCGUGUGGCCACCUAUGAAGGCGCUGACAAAAUGAUGACACAGGUCCGCCCAUGAAGAGAUGGAGCCGUCCGGCAAGUGCAUGAGCCAAGAUCCAACGUUGGGUUUGAGCACUAGCGGGAAGUAGUUGGCGAGGAUCUUCUCGUCGCGUCCUCCGGCAGCCUGCACCGUGAUGGUGUAGAUGCCGAGGAACUUCGACGGAUGUAUCCUGCCAUCGUACUUCUUGGGCACGUCUGGCUUGAAGUUCUUGGUUUUGGGCCACUGGACUUGCCGCAGCUCGCAGGUGAACGCAGGGCAACCUGCCGCGUACGGCAAGUCGCCUGGUUCCCCUGGUGCGUGCAUAUCGACAGUAGGCCCAGCACGCUGGUCAGAUUGGCGUCGCGUUUCCCUUCUACACUCGAUACGAGUGCGAGCGUCUUCGUGCCGUCGUUCUUGAAGAACGUGGCGUUGAUUGCGUCGGGUUCGCGGGUCCGACGACGCGGUGGAGUCGCCGUCGGGGUUGGUCCGACGAGCCGGCGAUCUUGGCCUUCUGGGCUGGGAGUGCACGGAGGUGGCACCCCCAGCGGUCUUGUCGGUGUCGGCUUGCGCCUGGGCGCCUUGCCAGGGCCUCGAUGCGCUCAGUUGCCGGGGCUUGUCGCCGUUGGCGAAGCCGAUGAGGCUGUAUAUGGUCAUCCUCCAGUCGUCGAUCUUGUGCGGCGCCGGAGGGUAGUCUAGAAGCAGCUGGGCUCGGUCCAGCGAUUCCUCUGCUGUCUUGGGUGGCGGUGGUGACGAGCGGCGCGAGGAGCGGGAUGUGCUCGGACUCCCAACUGGAUUGGGAGGUGCAGCACCCCGUCUGGGCAACUGUACCUCGCUCGCGCCAGCAUGCGGGCGUGCAUGCUGACCUCGAACGUCCCGCGACCCACCAGCUUGGCCUUGCUCCAAUGCGAGCACCGGGGCGUUGUUGACCUCGCACCUCCUGGGAAGGGUGCGGUGUCUGCACGGUCACCGAUGCUUGCGGGGCCUUGUUUUUGGAUCUGGUGACGACGUGAGUCCCACCGUCGGCGCCCGCUCCUCCGCCGGCGCCCACUCCACCGCCCGUUUGCUCCGGCGGUGGUGGCGGAAUCGAUGUAGACGGAGCGGCCACCUCCGAAGGCUUCUUCUUCGGUGGCAUGUUGAUGAUGGCCUUGAUGCAGCGCGCGCGGAAACCGGAUCAGAUGCUCACGACCUCGAUGCGGCCCCUACCUAGCGCGCCAAAGAUGUCGGGGCGUAUCUCUCUGUGGCCACGAGCACCUAUGGGGCACGGGGGGCCCCUUCUAGUCUGGCAAGGGGGGCGGAGGCCAUGCGCAGAGCAGAUCGAGGUCGAGCGCGCGGGGGAGAUGGGCGAUUUUUACCCAGCUUCGGAGCUCUCCGGAGAGAUAAAACUCCUACUGCUGCCUUGUGUUCGUAUUCGAUUUUGCUCGAGGGUGCGAGCGUAUGGUGGUGCUGCGUGUGUUGAAUGGACCGAACCCCCUCUACGUGCGCAUGGGCCUCCCUUUUAUAGUCUGAAGGGGGCACCAACAGGUGGCAGCGUAGAAAAAGGGGGUAGAAAGGUAAAAACGCAGGUUGGUACAACAGUGACCAACAGUGUCCUCUACCUAACUCUGACGGUAGGGGACAAGGGCAUUUAAUGCCCGUCCGGUCGCCCCAACAGUGCAGAGAAGCGACCGUUAAGUGAGCCACCGGUUGCCACGAUGGCGUCUCUGUCAGCUCCGCUUGCCACCUCGCCCCGCAUGGCUGCAUAGUGCCUCGCCACGUGCCCUUGGGAUGGCCCUGUGAUGACACGUCGCCGGAUGCGCUGGAGUUUGGGUGGCAGCCUUGCCGCGGCAAGUGCCUUGCCGCGGCCCUUCUCUUGUUGUGCCGGCAAGCUUGUCGGCCGUCGGGCCUUGCCGGGACGCGCGGGGCGCCGCGGCAAGUCUUUUGGUGAUGCCUUGGUUGGCCUUCCCGGCAAGCUCCUCUUGCCGGGGCCUUUGUUUUCUUGGUUAGUACUUUGUUCUUGAAUGGCAGUAAUAGGAAAUGGUGGAGGGUCUUGGCGGGCGCCCGGCAAGCCUUGCCGCGGGGCGCUACGACUGCCCGUGCACAAGUUCGGGGUACUAAGGUGCCCCCCUACUUUAGUACACCGACACCGGGUGUACCCAGAGGACUGGUUGAGCACCGUUUGCGUGUUGACCCCAAGGUAAAACCCGUCAAAGAGCAUCUUCCGCAGUCCGCCGUAUAGAAGAGAAAAGCAAUUGGCGAAGAAGUGGCUUGGCCUAGCAGCACAGUUCAUCCGUGAGAUCUACCACUCCGAGUGGCUUGCCAAUGUAGUCAUGGUCCCAAAGAAGGAUGAUUCACUUCGUAUGUGCAUUUAUAUCAAGCAUAUCAAUCGGGCCUGCCCGAAAGAUCAUUUCCCUCUGCCCUGCAUCAAUGAGAUUAUUGACUCGACGGCGGGGUGUGAGCGCUUGUCUUUUUUAGAUGCAUAUUCUGGGUAUCAUCAGAUCCGACUGUAUGGUCCCGAUGAAAUAAAAACAGCCUUCAUCACACCAUUUGGGUGCUUUUGCUAUGUCACCAUGCCAUUUGGUCUUAAAAAUGCCAGAGCCACAUUCACGAGAAUGAUUUAGAAGUGCCUGCUCAUUCAAAUCAGUGGGAAUGUGGAAGCAUACAUGGAUGACAUUGUGGUCGAGUCUCGCAAAGGUUCCGACCUACUGACUGACAUCGCAGAAACCUUUGCCAACCUAAGAAGGUACAAUAUGAAGCUUAAUCCGUCAAAGUGCACAUUCGGAGUUCGAGGUGGAAAGUUACUUGGUUUUCUCGUUUCCGAACAAGGGAUUGACGCCAAUCUAGAAAAAGUUGAUACCAUCCUCCGAAUGAAAUGCCCUGUGCGUGUGCAUGACAUUCAGAAGUUGACUAGUUGUUUGGCCGCCUUGAGUCGAUUCAUUUCUCGUCUCAGUGAAAAGGCCUUACCUCUUUACUGAUUGAAGAAGAAAUCUGAUAAGUUUGAGUGGACUGAAGAAGCCGAUGCAGUGUUUGCAGAGCACAAAACCCUGCUCUCCACCCAGCCGGUGCUGUCUGCACCAAUCAGCAAAGAGCCUUUGCUGCUUUAUAUUGCAGCCACUGGACAAGUUGUCAGUAUAGUACUCACGGUCGACCGAGAAGAAGAAGGAAAGACUUACAAGGUUCAGCGCCUAGUAUAUUAUUGUGGGGACCCCGACUCAUAAGUCGUGAUCACCGAUUGCACGUGUACAAUGAUCCCAGAGAUCAAUUCUCACUGAACACACAGAAGCUGAAUAACAAGAGUCUUACAUCCAUACAUACCGUCUUACACAAGUAGGACCAUUAUGGUCAAGUCUUGAGUAUAACAUUGCAGCGGAAAUCUUCGUCGAUAACUUGGACCCAUGCCAUCUGCCUUAACCCUACAGGCAUUCUGACUAGGAAGCGUCCUAGCUCGCAUGUUCGUCACCGAAGUAUUCCUCAUCAUAUCCUGUUCUUUCAUGCCUGGCCAAUAAAAUAACCAGUGGCAAGCCAAUGAGUACUUUGAAUGUACUCGCAAGCAACCCAUGUUUUGGUUCAAGAUACAACAAUGCAUGAUAUAGGUAAAUUUUUGCAGAAAGCUAGUUUUGAGUGCAAUGACAUGUUCAACAACUUGUACGACAUGCAUCAAGAGAGUUCAAGUAACCAUGAGGACAGGUUACAGAUAUCAACAUAAAUAGAGUGGGCACCAACCCAACUCAAUCAGGUCAAGUCCUUUGAUUUGACCCAAGUAGUUAUCCAAACACACACACUGGUUUGUAAACUCUGGACAUAGUUUAAGCAGCACUGCCCAACCGUCCUUGACCGUGGACACGACUAUUCGAAUAGUUUUACACUCUGCAGAGGUUGCACACUGUACCCACAAGAUCCGGGGAACUUCCGUGUCAGCCACGACCCGCGGUACCUCAAGUACCCGGGGUAAGAACCCGAUCACUACCUUUCCCUAGAUGACACUAACAUGGAGUCCACUCGAUUGGUAGUAACCCCCGUGCCUAACAUUUCACAUCAUAAAGUUGUGGAGCCUCGCUCCCAUAUUCAUCACAUACCACAAGCACGGGGUACCAACGGUGUGUCCGGUGCCCUGUGAAAACAGUCAUGGCCGCCCUACCUGGCACGACCCCGUCCCGAGAGAGCGCACCAACAAAUCUCCCGUCACUAGUAAUGCGGGCUCCAAGCUAGUAUCGGUCUAGGUAAUCAAUAAUGCCCUUUUUCUCAUAUAAGGGUAGAGUGGUUGCGCAUGUAAGGUUCGGACAGUCAUCAAAUCUUAAAUCUAAUCCGUUUUCGAAAACAACACACACACUUGCCUUGGUACACACUUCGUCAUCAAGUGGUUACCCAUCUCAUCAUCUCCCUCGGGCAUAAGUGGCACCCGACGAGGUUUGCGAAAGGUCUUUUGAAAAUGCUUUGUCUCCUUCACCAUGCAUAAACCCGUCCCUUUUUGCGUAGCAUCUACUUUAGCAUCCUAUCUACUCCCACCGGCAUAACCCUCAUAAGAAGGUACGGUCAUGCAUAAUGCAAGUAUCAACGAGGAAGUAUGGUGGCAAACCAUCAAAGUGGUUACUACCUCAUCAUGAUUCCGUUGCAACAACAAUAUGGUGCUAUAUGAUAUGCAUAAAAAGGGUUUCAUAGACAUGGUCAAAGGGCUGCUUGCCUGUUUUAACAAAGUCCUCGAGGUCUUCAAAUAUCUCUGGUCCAACUCCGAGCAUUUCGUCUACUUCGUCAACUAUCGUUGAAAGCAACCAUAAUAAGCAACACAACAAGGUAGGAAAUAAAAGUAUUCUAAAAAUAUGGAUUUGACUUUUCAAGGACACCACUAGUUAUAUGAAAAAUAACCAGACUGGUUUCAUUGGAAUUGGGUAAGUGGAUAUUUCUGAACAUUUCAAUAUGAUGGAAUCAAGGGAUUUGUGGAUUUGCAAGAAGUGUAUAGGAAUAUAUUUUUGAAAAAUGAGAAAAGAUACCCAUUUAACAAAGGAUGAUUUUAGAAGCAUCUAGGAGUUUGUUUCACUGGAUUUGGAGUUAAAAUGAAUUUCCUAUGAAUUUGCAAAGUUGACAAAUAUGAAGAAAUGGCUCAUUAUAUUGUGUGGCACAGAAAGUAUUAAGAAAAAUGUUCAUAAACUAAGUUAUGAACUUAUAAGCAUUUGGAAAUUUGAAUCAUGGUAUUUGGAUCAAAUGUGAGCCUUCUGUGAUUUUCUAAAGUUCAUCACAGAAAUGAAAAAAUGGGAUUUUAUUUAAUUUGUGUGAAGGAAGGUUUUCUGGAAAAAUGUGCAUGUUGCACAUGCAGGUAGAUCAUGAUUUAUGGAGUCACAAGAAAUUUGAAUCAUCAAAUUUGGAGUUAAUUUGAAUAGUUUAUAGAUUUUUGAAAUUCACUGGAAAAGAAAAAGAAAAAGAUUUGUGUUUUACCUAAACUGUAUGCAGGGCGCAGUUUAGCACCAAAGCGCACUGGGCCGGCCCAGCUGCACGGCCACGCGGCUAAGAAGGGCCACGUCGAAGGCGUACUGCCCAAGUAUGCGUCCCUGCGGGGCAAGCGGCUUCCCUGGUCCAGCCUUCACUUAAGACGACCUGUGGGGCCGGCUCGGUUGCCGCUGCCGCCGACAGGCAGGGCUGGCAUGCUGACGUGGCGUCGUCCUCAACCUCCCACCCGAAGCAGGGGAGGCGAGGCAGAGGGACGUCGACGGCAACUGCCGGCGCUACCGGCCACCAUUUCCGGUGAUCCGGCCACCGGCGUUCUCGGGAAGACGAGCUGCAUCCAUUGGUGUAUGGCUGGCUUGCCGAGGAGAGCCGUAGCGGCGACGGCCUGGACAACCGCGGAGGAGGCCAUCGGCCAUCUUCGGCUUCGAGCAUACGAUGCUCCUGGGAACGAACGGCAGCGAGGGAAGGGCUUGUGGUGGUGAAAAGAGGGUGCGGGGCUGUCCAGGGGGAAGAGAGAGGGGCCGAGGCCUGCGGAUUUGAGCAUCGGCCGGCGGCUCGGCUCUGGCCUAGGAGUGGGAUGAAGAGCGUGAGGGGAGUGGGUUGGUCCAUGGGGUUCAUGGGGGAGAGAGAGAUCAAAGGAGAUCCAAAGGGAGGUCAGGGGCGGCCUUAUAUGGCGAGGCCACGGCUCACCGUGGACGCGGCCUACGGGCACCCGUGAAAAUGGCCGUGGUGGCCACGGGAGGAGGCUCGGGGUUGUCCGCGGCGCUCAUGGGGUUGGAGUAGGUCUCUGGGGAGAGAGAGCAGGAGCGGGGCAAGGCUCUGGUGCUCGCGCAUGCGAGGCCAUGCAUUAGCCGAGCCGGGCAGCUCUGGGCACGCGCCGCAGGAGGUGAGAGAGAGGGAGAGACGAUGGGGCCUGCACGGUGGCGUGUUGCGGAUGUCAAGGCACCUCGACUGGCGUGAGGGGGAGGCUCGAGGUGGUCGGGGAACGCGGCGUCAACGGUCGGGAGCAUGCUGACAUGCUGCAGAGCACGCAAAUGGCCGGCAUCCGCGGCUUUUCCGCGCGCACUCACGUGUCCACUUGUGUCUGGGGUCUGAAGGGGGAAUAAACAAGAGGAUUGCAGGCUUUGGAUGCUCUGGAACUUGCCAGGAGUGAGAGAUUGAUGAGAAAGGGAGGAAAAAGUGGCUGUCCAGAGAAGAAGAAUGGAUCCCUGCCCCCCUUCAUCAUUGCCUCUCGGGAUGGGAAGCACACCAGAGGUAGAGGGGGACUAGAAGGGGCUGUGGUAAAAAGGAUAACUCUUGGAGAUUAGUGGAAGGGGUUAAAACAUGAAUUUUGAGAUUCUGCCAGAAGGUGUUUGAUAAUGGUUUGGACAAGCAGAUGAUUCCCAAAUGCCAUGAGACUCCACAGGGUGAAAUGACACAUAUAGAUAGGUCCUUCCACCAAUUUGGAGCUUAUUUGGGCAAACUUGCCAAUGCAACUUUUGUGAACCCUAGAAAUGAACAUAAAUGGAUUUUCCAAGAUUUAGUCAUUCAAAUCUAUUCUCCUUGAUGCACCACUUGGUUUAGUGUCAUCAUUUGAGGUUCUGAAUAUGUCCACAAAAGUUGAGAUCAAAAGGAGAAAGUUUCCAAUGUAGAGUUGUUCAAAUUUGGUUUCGGACAGGAAUGGUUUUGGGGCACUUUGAUCAAGUUAACUUGUUCUACAACUUGUGCCACUUGGUCUAGAUGAAUAAUUAGAACAUUUGAGCAUGUUCACAAGGUUUGAGAACGUUUGGAAAUGUUUGUCAAUGUAAAGUUGCUUAAACUUCAAAAUGGACAGAAAUGGUUUUGAGGGUAGUAGAUGAUGUUAUGUUGUUCUCCAAGCCAUGAGACUUGGCUAGAUCAUCUAAUAUGUCAUAUGUGAUAUUCUAGAAUUUUCUUGGAAUUUUUGGAGAAUAUUUCCUUUGUAAAUAUUUCAAAAGCUUGAAUUAUCCAAAAAGGGUUUUUGAGGGGUUUGACCAAUAUUUUGAACAUGACCAUGUGUUGAAACUCUUAUAUAUGGAUAAUAUAUGUCCACUGAGUUUCCCUAAAUUUUCAAAAAUAUUUUUACAACAUUAAAAUAUUUUUCCCUAUUAAAGACCAUUUAUGGCCUUAAGAAAAAGCUUGUAAAUAAAAUAGGAAAAUAACUUUUUAAAUUAUAUUUUUGUGGUUUAUGGGUAUCCUAUAUCUAAUAGGAGUCAAAUAUAUUUUUGGAAAGAUUUUUACUGCCCUUAAUUAAGUACUUGCAGUGCAAACCUCAAUUCAGGGGUUUUUGAAAAACUAAUUUUUGAAAAUACUAUUUGACCAAAUUAUUUUUGCAAGAAAUUAUUUUUAUGUCCUAUACACAUGGCAUGAUCAUUGGUAAAGGUUUUUGGAUCAAGGAGAUGAAGUAUAGAAGUUGGAGGAUUUAUUUGAUUUUUAGAGCAGUUGAAAACAGCAAACAAAAAUCCAAUCAAGCAAAGUCCAAAACACUCACAAGUUUUUGUCAAAACACAUUUUAUCAUGAUUUAUUAGCUUAAGUGUUAUGGCAUGAAAAUCAGGGUGUGACAGACCUACCCCGCUUACAAGAAUCUCAUCCCCGAGAUUCCUAGACUAGGCGCGGAAAGGGAUACAGAAACUUGGAUCUGGGGUAGUCUUCAAGUCUUCAUGUUGCUUCUGCUUCCGUAUAGUGCUCCAUUGAGAUUGAAGUACUAGAUGGUGUGGCUUCGUGUAUGACGCUCUUCUUGAUCCAGGUUGCUAAUGUAUAGCUCGCGGUAGGUUAGAUUGGGCUAGGGGUCGAUGGCUCGAUGGUCAAUGUCCUUAUUAGUGCUCGGACUAGCUAGGAAGUAGGAAACACUUCCGGGGUUGUGAUGCAUGGAAAGCGUUGUGCACAUUAGGUAACUCAGGUGGCAACUCCAGCUGGUAACUGUCUUCUCUUCGUCUCGUAGUGAUCUUAGAAGGGGUUGUUAAAUUUUGGAGUGAUCUCGAAGGGGCCGAUGAAUCUUGGUGUGGGUCUCCUUGUCAUGGAAAUGCUUGGUUCCUUAGAGAGAAGUGGCUUGCAGAUACACCUGGUCUUCAACGCGGAUGUUUACUUCCUGAUGAUGGUGGUAGUUCUUCCUCCUUGGCAUGGCGGUCUUCAAAUGUUCUUGGACUAGCUGAACGACUCUUCUUCCGUCUUCGGGUGGACAAGUAGGUCACCAAAUGAUUAUGACAACUAUCUUGUCUAAGCACUCCAUGAAGUCUAUGGGGUACGUAAAGUGGGCUGAGGCAUUGGUGAUUGUCACGGUUGAGUAUUGGCCAAGGUCUUAUCGAUCUAGAGCCAAAGCCCAAGGUCAGGAUUCGACCGUGUUGUGGCUUGGUAGGGCAUAUGGGUUUCAAGCAUUCUAGUGUGCGAGUGAAUGUUUAUCAUCCCAUCCUUGAGGACAGUUUCUGAGAUGCCGAUAGUCUAUCUAGUACUUUAAACAAAUCACAUCAUAUCACCGAUAGCAUCAUUUUGCAUAGGUCAACUCCAAUCAUCACUCAUGUGAUUCAUAUCCUCAUGGCUCCCGAGAGGAGGUCUAACAAAAUCAUAUAUGUCUACAAUCCCCAAACUCAUAUGUAUGUCUACCCCUAAAAAUCCAUGGGUAGAACAUAUAAGCUGCUAAGCUUGAACGUGACAAUCCAAGUGCUCAGCCUGUUCUUCCAAGGUCUAAGAUAAAGCAUCUCUAUCCUAAGGAAACACGUCGUAAGCCACUCCAUGAUCUUGUUUCCUUCCAAUGAAUCAAUUCCAACAGCCCAUUAACUUCCAUCAAUCACUACAUAAUCCAUUUAAUUCUACAAUUCCAAUGUCUAUGCUGGUGUUCCACAUGAUCUCCUAAAGUCCUUAUAAUCCCCAAUACUUGAAAGGGCUGCCUUACUAUAGUCAGUCCACCAAUUCCCGUUAUUGUGAUCUAGUAAUACUCCAAGGUCAAGCUCACAAAGAUGCCUAAAUAAACUCCGACAAUUAGUCCAAUCUCCUAGUUUAUCGUCCAUCGAGAAACAUGGUAUCAUGAUCGAGAUCAUCAUCUAAAUCCAAUUUACUCCAAACCAUGUAGACAUGCUCAGCAUCUAUAUUCAACUAGAAUCACCUACUUAAAUCCAAAUGUCUUGUCCAAUGAGGAUUCCUACAUGUUUCCCUCAAGUUAUUUACGUAAUAUCAACUGUCUCCUAUCAAUAUCAUCUGAUCAAGUCAAAUCCUUGCACUUCCAGGAGUUUUAGCUUGCGAUCAUAAUUGUCCUAUAAAUCCAAUUUACUCAGGGGUAAUGAAAGCUAUGCUACUCUAUAAUCAUGAUCCCACCAAGUUCAUCUACCAACAUGGUAGCCUUAUAAUCCACCAAAGAGUCUCAGAUAAUUCCUCAAAGUCAUUGAUAUAAACUCACCAAGUCAUUUGUCCUCUAUUCCUGUAUCCUCAAAUUGGUCUUCCCUAUGGCAUCGUCAGUUUUGGUGCUAUCUUAGGAUGAUAAUGUGCUCGUUCACUAUGUCCACUAGUUCCCUAAUGAACCCAGUGAUAAGCAAGGUUACGGAGGCUUUAACAGGUUUUCUUGCAAUUCUGUGGGUUAAGCACAUGGUUGAGGAUUCGAGAUGGGGUAUCUUAUGAAGUCUCUAAGGGUCUUGGAAUGGGUUUUAAACUUGAGGGGCAACCAUAACUCUAAGGGGCUGCACUUGGUCGAGGAGGUUGUAGCAAAAGUCUUUAGUGCUGGUUGGUUGCCAAAGUAGAAUCCUUGGUGUAUCUUGUCUUGCUAGGCUUCAGUUGAGGAGAGAUAUGAGAGGGAGAGGUAGCAUAGAGGAGGGGAAUGCCUAAAGGGGGUUCUAUAGUGCUAGUGCAAACAAACAAGUGCAAAGAGGGCUAAACAAAAGAAACAAGGUGAGGAAGGUGAUAUAGUCGCAUACUUGUCGCUUAGGGCAAAAGUGCGACCUAUAUCAAAACACAAACAAAUAAAAACAAGCAACACACAAUCAUGGUUCUAUUCGAACUAUCAUACGGACUCGACUGCGCAUAGGGCGUACACGACUCAUCCUACCGUAGGGGAUCUCGGACUCAGUAGUUGUGCCUUGUGCCUCAUGCAGUAUUCUGAGUUUUCCUCAGGUGUUGCUACAUCUCUUGUAGUUGUUCGAUGAAACAAUCCGGGUUGAUCCUGAAGAUUCUUCAACAACUUCUAGCCUGUUGAAGUGAUGGGGUGAAGGUGGCUCCUCGUAACUGGCAUUGACUGGGUCUUCUAUUGUCUUCUUAAUCACGACGGUCCCUUUUUGUCUUCUAAGCCGUCGAUGGUACCAGGUAGGUAAUCCUUUAUGCAAUGACAUUAUCAAGGCGUAAUAGAGGUCCAUCAUGUCAGUUACAUUGAUGAAAACAUCGACACCAAGAGCGGGGGAUGAGGAGAACCGUUUUCCUGCUCACUAUGGUGAGGCGGACCAAAUGGCUAGGUUCUCAUCCAUCGGUGGUUGCCGAUACAACAACGGUAGUGACAUGGUUACUCUAUUAGCGAUGUAUAUCAUGAUCUUGCAUAUUCUAGGCCCUGAUCAUCAUAGGCUAAGGUUGCAUCAUCUUGGGGCAGUGUCAAGGGUGUCACCAUCUCCUGGGCCUUCAGGUCCUCAUUCCUCGAGGAUGUAUCUUCUGUUAGUAUCGUUUUGCUGUGAUGUCGCCAAUCUUGUGUUCAGGAGAUGUGGGUGAAUGUCUGGCAAGGCAUCUUCCUUCUAGAUUAUCCACGAGGAUUACCAGGAAUCCAGUGGUCAGGGGCAUAAGGGUUCUAGCGACCAAAGGUUUUGAAGGGGAAGAGAUCAAUACGGAAAGUAUACCUUAGUUUUGGAUAAACUGAGAAGGGAAGAGAAGUAUAGAUAGUUUUGAAAACUAGUAGUAGUGUUGGAAAUAUUUUACCCUAACUAACGACCAUGCUAACUAAGGCUUCCUACAGUCAGGAUGGCUUUGAUACCAGCUCUGUGGGGACCCCGACUCAUAAGUCGUGAUCACCGAUUGCACGUGUACAGUGAUCCCAGAGAUCAAUGCUCACUGAACACACAGAAGCUGAAUAACAAGAGUCUUACAUCCAUACAUACCGUCUUACACAAGUAGGACCACUAUGGUGAAGUCUUGAGUAUAACAUUGUAGCGGAAAUCUUCGUCGAUAACUUGGACCCAUGCCAUCUGCCUUAACCCUAUAGGCAUUCUGUCUGGGAAGCGUCCUAGCUCGCAUGUUCGUCACCGAAGUAUUCCUCAUCAUAUCCUGUUCUUUCAUGCCUGGCCAAUAAAAUAACCAGUGGCAAGCCAAUGAGUACUUUGAAUGUACUUGCAAGCAACCCAUGUUUUGGUUCAAGAUACAACAAUGCAUGAUAUAGGUAAACUUUUUGCAGAAAGCUAGUUUUGAGUGUAAUGACAUGUUCAACAACUUGUAAGACAUGCAUCAAGAGAGUUCAAGUAACCAUGAGGACAGGUUAUAGAUAUCAACAUAAAUAGAGUGGGCACCAACCCAACUCAAUCACGUCAAGUCCUUUGAUUUGACCCAAGUAGUUAUCCAAACACACACACUGGUUUGUAAACUCUGGACAUAGUUUAAGCAGCACCGCCCAACCGUCCUUGACCGUGGACACGGCUAUUCGAAUAGUUUUACACUCUGUAGAGGUUGCACACUGUACCCACAAGAUCCGGGGAUCUUCCGUGUGAGCCACGACCCGCGGUACCUCAAGUACCCGGGGUAAGCACCCGAUCACUACCUUUCCGUAGAUGACACUAACAUGGAGUCCACUCGAUUGGUAGUAACCCCCGUGCCUAACAUUUUACAUCAUAAAGUUGUGGAGCCUCGCUCCCAUAUUCAUCACAUACCACAAGCACGGGGUACCAAGGGGGUGUCCGGUGCCCUGUGAAAACAGUCAUGGCCACCCUACCUGGCAUGACCACGUCCCGAGAGAGCGCACCAACAACUCUCCCAUCACUAGUAAUGCGGGCUCCAAGAUAGUAUCGGUCUAGGUAAUCAAUAAUUCCCUUUCCCAUAUAAGGGUAGAGUGGCUGCGCAUGUAAGGUUGGGACAGUCAUCAAAUCUUAAAUCUAAUCUGUUUUCGAAAACAACACACACACUUGCCUCAGUACACCACUUCGUCAUCAAGUGGUUACCCAUCUCAUCAUCUCCCUCGGGCAUAAGUGGCACCCGACGAGGUUUUCGAAAAGUCUUUUGAAAAUGCUUUGUCUCCUUCACCAUGCAUAAACCCGUCCCUUUUUGCGUAGCAUCUACUUUAGCAUCCUAUCUACUCCCACCGGCAUAACCCUCAUAAGAAGGUAGGGUCAUGCACAAUGCAAGUAUCAACGAGGAAGUACGGUGGCAAACCAUCAAAGUGGUUACUACCUCAUCAUGAUUCCGUUGCAACAACAAUAUGGUGCUAUAUGAUAUGCAUAAAAAGUGUUUCAUAGACAUGGUCAAAGGGCUUCUUGCCUGUUUUAACAAAGUCUUCGAGGUCUUCAAAUAUCUCUGGUCCAACUCCGAGCAUUUCGUCUACUUCGUCAACUAUCGUCGAAAGGAACCAUAAUAAGCAACACAACAAGGUAGGAAAUAAAAGUGCUCUAAAAAUAUGGAUUUGACUUUUCUAGGACACCACUAGUUAUAUGAAAAAUAACCAGACUGGUUUCAUUGGAAUUGGGUCAGUGGAUAUUUCUGAACAUUUCAAUAUGAUGGAAUCAAGGGAUUUGUAGAUUUGCAAGAAGUGUAUAGGAAUAUAUUUUUGAAAAAUGAGAAAAGAUACCCAUUUAACAAAGGAUGAUUUUAGAAGCAUCUAGGAGUUGGUUUCACUGGAUUUGGAGUUCAAAUGAAUUUCCUAUGAAUUUGCAAAGUUGACAAAUAUGAAGAAAUGGCUCAUUAUAUUGUAUGGCACAGAAAGUAUUAAGAAAAAUGUUCAUAAACUAAGUUAUGAACUUAGAAGCAUUUGGAAAUUUGAAUCAUGGCAUUUGGAUCAAAUGUGAGCCUUCUGUGAUUUUCUAAAGUUCAUCACAGAAAUGGAAAAAUGGGAUUUUAUUUAAUUUGUGUGAAGGAAGGUUUUCUGGAAAAAUGUGCAUGUUGCACAUGCAGGUAGAUCAUGAUUAAUGGAGUCACAAGAAAUUUGAAUCAUCAAAUUUGGAGUUAAUUUGAAUAGUUUAUGGAUUUUUGAAAUUCAUUGGAAAAGAAAAAGAAAAAGAUUUGUGUUUUACCUAAACUAUAGGCAGGGCGCAGUUUAGCACCACAGCGCACUGGGCCGGCCCAGUUGCAUGGCCACGCGGCUAAGAAGGGCCACGUCGAAGGCGUACUACCCAAGUACGCGUCCCUGCGGGGCAAGCGGCUUCCCUGUUCCCGCCUCCACUUAACCCGACCUACUUGGUCGGCUCGGUUGCCGCUGCCGCCGACAGGCAGGGCAGGCGUGCUGACGUGGCGUCAUCCUCAAACUCCCGGCCGAAGCAGGGGAGGCGAGGCAGAGGGACGUCGAUGGCAACUACCGGCGCUACCGGCCACCGUUUCCGGUGAUCCGGCCACUGGCGUGCUCGGGGAGACGAGCUGCAUCCAUCAGUGUAUGGCUCGCUUGCCAAGGAGAGCCGUAGCGGCGACGUCCUGGACGACCGCGGAGGAGGCCAUCGGCCAUCUUCGGCUUCGAGCAUACGAUGCUCCUUGGAACGAACGACAGCGAGGGAAGGGCUUGUGGUGGUGAAAAGAGGGUGCGGGGCUGUCCAGGGGGAAGAGAGAGGGGCCGAGGCCUGCGGAUUUGAGCAGCGGCCGGCGGCUCGGCUCUGGCCUAGGAGGAGGAUGGAGAGCGCGAGGAGGGGAGUGGGUUGGUCCAGGGGGUUCACGGGGGAGAGAGAGAUUGAAGGAGAUCCAGAGGGAGGUCAGGGGCGGCCUUAUAUGGCGAGGCCACGGCUCAUCAUGGACGCGACCUACGGGUACCCGCGAAAAUGGCCGUGAUGGCCACGGGAGGAGGCUCGGGGUUGUCCACGGCGCUCGUGGGGGUGGAGUAGGUCUGUGGGGAGAGAGAGGAGGAGUGGGGCAAGGCUCUUGUGCCCGCGCGUGCGAGGCCAUGCAUUGGCCGAGCCGGGUGGCUCUGGGCACGCGCCGCAGGAGGUGAGAGAGAGGGAGAGACGAUGGGGCCUGAAUGGUGGCGUGUUGCGGACGUCGAGGCACCUCGACUGGCGCGAGGGGGAGGCUCGAGGUGGUCGGGGAACGCGGCGUCAACGGUCGGGAGCAUGCUGACGUGCUCUAGAGCGCGCAAAUGGCCGGCAUCCGCGGCUUUUCCGCGCGCACUCGCGUGUCCACUUGUGUAUGGGGUCUGAAGGGGGAAUAAACAAGAGGGUUGCAGGCUUUGGAUGCUCUGGAACUUGCCAGGAGUGAGAGAGUGAUGAGAAAGGGAGGAAAAAGUGGAUGUCCAGAGAAGAAGAAUGGAUCCCUGCCCCCCUUCAUCAUUGCCUCUCGGGUAGGAAAGCACACCAGGGGUAGAGGGGGACUAGAAGGGGCUGUGGUAAAAAGGAUAACUCUUGGAGAUUAGUGGAAGGGGUUAAAACAUGAAUUUUGAGAAUCUGCCAGAAGGUGUUUGAUAAUGGUUUGGCCCAGCAGAUGAUUCCCAAAUGCCAUGAGACUCCACAGGGUAAAAUUACACAUAUAAAUAGGUCCUUCCACCAAUUUGGAGCUUAUUUGGGCAAAGUUGCCAAUGCAACUUUUGUGAACCCUGGAAAUGAACAGAAAUGGAUUUUCCAAGAUUUAGUUAUGCAAAUCUAUUCUCCUUGAUGCACCACUUGGUUUAGUGUCAUAAUUUGAGGUUCUGAACAUGUCCACAAAAGUUGAGAUCAAAAGGAGAAAGUUUCCAAUGUAGAGUUGUGCAAAUUUGGUUCUGGACAGGAAUGGUUUUGGGGCACUUUGAUCAAGUUAACUUGUUCUACAACUUGUGACACUUAUUCUAGAUGAAUAAUUAGAACAUUUGAGCAUGUUCACAAGGUUUGAGAACAUUUGGAAAUGUUUGUCAAUGUAAAGUUGCUUAAACUUCAAAAUGGACAGAAAUGGUUUUGAGGGUAGUUGAUGAUGUUAUAUUGUUCUCCAAGCCAUGAGACUUGGCAAGAUCAUCUAAUAUGUCAUAUGUGAUAUGCUAGAAUUUUCUUGGAAUUUUUGGAGAGUAUUUCCUUUGUAAAUAUUUCAAAAGCUUGAAUUAUCCAGAAAGGGUUUUGAGGGGUUUGACCAAUAUUUUGAACAUGACCAUGUGUUGAAACUCUUAUAUAUGGAUAAUAUAUGUCCACUGAGUUUCCCUAAAUUUUCAAAAAUAUUUUUAAAGCAUUAAAAUAACUUUUCCCUAUUAAAGACCAUUUCUGGCCUUAAGAAAAAGCUUUUAAAUAAAAUAGGAAAAUAACUUAUAAAAUUAUAUUUUUGUGGUUUAUGGGUAUCCUAUAUCUAAUAGGAGUCAAAUAUAUUUUUGGAAAGAUUUUUACUGCCCUUAAUUAAGUACUUGUAGUGCAAACCUCAAUUCAGGGGUUUUGAAAAACUAAUUUUUGAAAAUACUAUUUGGCCAAAUUAUUUUUGCAAGAAAUUAUUUUUAUGUCCUAUACACAUGGCAUGAUCAUUCGGAAGGUUUUUGGAGCAAGGAGAUGAAGUAUAGAAGUUAUAGGAUUUAUUUGAUUUUUAGAGCACUUGCAAACAAUAAACAAAAAUCCAAUCAAGCAAAGUCCAAAACACUCAAAAGUUUUUGUCAAAACACACUUUAUCAUGAUUUAUUAGCUUAAGUGUUGUGGCAUGAAAAUCAGGGUGUGACAAUUAUCUAUCUGAAGUUUUGACUCCAUCCAAGCAACGAUAUCCACGCUAUCAGAAGCUUGUCUAUGGAAUCUACAUGACCAUGAAGAAGGUUGCACAUUACUUCUCUGAUUACUCCAUUAUAGACGUCAGCGACGCACCACUAUCUGAAAUUCUGAACAACAAAGAUGCAACUGGUCGAGUGGCAAAUUGGGCGAUGGAGCUCCUUCCAUUGGAUAUCAAGUUUGAGGCAAAGAAAGCUAUCAAGUCCCAAGCAAUCGCAGAUUUCCUUGCCGAGUGGAUUGAGCAGCAAUUGCCGACUCAAGUUCACUCGGAGCAUUGGACUAUGUUCUUCGAUGGCUCCAAGUUGCUGAAUGGUUCAGGUGCUAGGGUAUUAUUGGUAUCUCCCUGUAGAGACAAGCUUAGCUAUGUUCUCCAGAUUCAUUUUGAUUCCUCCAACAACAAAGCUGAAUAUGAAGCACUUUUCUUUGGGUUGCGUAUGGCCAUUUCACUCGGCGUCCGUCGCCUUAUGGUCUACGGCAACUCAGAUUUGGUGGUUAAUCAAGUGAUGAAAGAGUAGGAUGUCAGGAGCCCGGCCAUGACUGGUUAUUGCAAUGCAGUAAGAAAGCUGGAAAAGAAGUUUGAAGGGUUGGUGCUUCACCAUAUACCCCGACCGAAAAAGCAAGCUGUAGAUGAGUUGGCAAAUAUAGGUUCAAAGAGAGAGGCGUUUCCCAGCAAUGUGUUUUUGGAACAUAUUCAUUCACCUUAAGUUCAGGAAGAUCCUUUCACUGAAGAGCCCCCACAGCCCAAGAGCGCCACAGAUCCGACUAAAGUCGACAUCCCAGCCGUGGUCGACUUAGUCAUGGAGGUUUUGGUCAUCACUCCCGACUGGACAGUGCCAUACAUUGCAUACUUUCUUAGGAAAGAACUUCCAGAGGAUGAAGAAGACAUUCGACAGAUUGUCCGACGAUUUAAAGCAUUUACCGUGAUAAAAGGUCAGUUGUUCAGAGAAAGUGUAACUGGAGUCUGCCAGGAGUGCAUCACGCCAGAAGAAGGUCGAAUGAUCCUCAAUGAUAUUCACUCGGUGACCUGUGGUCACCACGCGUCCUGUCGGAUCAUCGUGGCCAAAGCAUACCGAGCCGGAUUUUACUGGCCACAUGCCAAUGAGAAGGCAAAAGAAAUAGUGGACAAGUGGGAAGGCUGUCAGUUUUACUCCAACUUGUCCCGUAAACCUGCGUCAGCUCUGAAGACUAUUCCACUCGUCUGGGCUUUCGCUGUCUGGGGAUUGGACAUGGUUGGACCUCUGAGGACUGGCAGGAGUGGAUUUACCCAUGUGCUGGUGGCAGUCGACAAGUUUACCAAAUGGAUCGAAGCCAAGCCCAUCAAAAACCUUGAAGCAAGUACAGCUGUAAGUUUCAUCAGAGAGUUCAUAUUCAGAUAUAGUGUUCCGCACAACAUCAUCAUGGAUAACGGGUCGAACUUUGACUCUGACGAAUUCAGAGCCUUUUGUGCUUCCCAAGGCACGAGGGUCGAUUACGCUUCGGCCGCCCAUCUUCAGUCGAAUGGGCAGGCUGAGAGAGAAAAUGGAUUGAUUCUCAAAGGACUGAAACCUCGGUUGAUGCUUGACCUCAAGCAUGCAGCAGGGGACUGGGUCGAUGAACUUCCAUCAGUACUUUGGGUAUUGAGGACAACUCCUAAUCGGUCGACUGGACAAACUCCAUUCUUCUUAGUCUAUGGAGCUGCAGCCGUACUCCCGAGUGAUGUGCUCCAUAGUGCGCCCCAAGUCGAGCUCUUCUCAGAAGAGGAAGCAGAACAAGCUCAGCAAGAUGCAGUCGAUCUCGUAGAAGAAGAAAGAGAGAUGGCCUUGAUCCGGUCAACCAUUUAUCAACAAGACCUGCGUCGAUUCCACGCCAAAAUGUAAGGGGUCGGGCAUUUCAGGAAGGAGACUUAAAUCUUCGAGUGGAACAGCAGACACCACACAAGCUCGCUCCUGCUUGGGAGGGCCCUUUCGUCAUCACCAAAGUGCUCCACAACGGAGCAUAUCGUCUUUUCAAUGUCGAGCACAAUAAAGAUGAGCCACGCUCCUGGAGUGCGGAACUGCUCCGCCCCUUUUAUUCUUAAAGUAUUUAGACUGUUGAGAUGUAAUAAAUAGUACCUUUUUUCUAUCAAAAGACAUGAUUUUACAGUCUUUCGAAUGGUUGUUGUUCAUUUUUUACAUGUUCCCCAAUGGGUGCCUUAGCUGCGAAUCCGUUUCACCUAAGUUGAAGAGAAAAUUCUACCAAGUGGUGAGCCAGCCUCUCACACGGAGGCUUAGCUGCGAAUCCGUUUCACCUAAGUGUUAAAAAUCCUACCGAAUUGCGAGCCAGUCUCUCACUCGGGGGCUUAGCUGCAGUCCAGUACUCGCCUAAGUGGUAAAAAAACCUACCGAGUGGUGAGCCACCCUCUCACUCGGGGGCUUAGCUGUAGUCCAGUACUCGCCUAAGUACAAAAAAUCCUACCGAGUGGCGAGCCAGCCUCUCACUCGGGGGCUUAGCGGCAGUCCAGUACUCGCCUAAGUGUUAAAAAUUCCUACCGAGUGGUGAGCUAGCCUCUCACUCGGGGGCUUAGCUCCNNNNNNNNNNNNNNNNNNNNNNNNNNNNNNNNNNNNNNNNNNNNNNNNNNNNNNNNNNNNNNNNNNNNNNNNNNNNNNNNNNNNNNNNNNNNNNNNNNNNNNNNNNNNNNNNNNNNNNNNNNNNNNNNNNNNNNNNNNNNNNNNNNNNNNNNNNNNNNNNNNNNNNNNNNNNNNNNNNNNNNNNNNNNNNNNNNNNNNNNNNNNNNNNNNGGUGAGCCAGCCUCUCACUCGGAGGCUUAGCUGCAGUCCAGUACUCACCUAAGUUUAAAAGGUCCUACCAAACGGUACGGGUUGACCACGACCUCCCCCCGGGGCUGCACCAUCAAGAAGAAGUACGAAUAAUCAUACCGAGUGGUGUGCAAUCCUCCCACUCGGGGGCUUAGCUGCAGUCCAGUACUUGCCUAAGUUUGAAAAAUCCUACCGAGUGGUGAGCAAUCCUCCCACUCGGGGGCUUAGCUGCAGUCCAGUACUCGCCUAUGUUUGAAAAAUCCUACCGAGUGGUGAGCAAUCCUCCCACUCGGGGGCUUAGCUGCAGUCUAGUACUCGCCUAUGUUUGAAAAAUCCUACCGAGUGGUGAGCAAUCCUCCCACUCGGGGGCUUAGCUGCAGUUGAGUACUCGCCUAAGUUUGAAAAAUCCUACCGAGUGGCGAGAGAUCCUCCCACAUGAGGGCUUAGCUAGAGUCCAGUACUCGCCUAAGUUCAUAAAAUCAUCCCGAGUGAAACUGAUCGUCUCGCCCGGGGACUUAGCCAUACACUCCAUCCUAAUCCACAAGGACAACAAAGUGCGGGUCGACCACGACCCCCACCUCAGAGUUGCACCAUCAAGAAGAAGGACGAGAUUGAGCGUGUUGCCUAGGCGAGCCACUUUCAGGAACAUUAAGACCAUUGCUGAAUGCCUCNNNNNNNNNNNNNNNNNNNNNNNNNNNNNNNNNNNNNNNNNNNNNNNNNNNNNNNNNNNNNNNNNNNNNNNNNNNNNNNNNNNNNNNNNNNNNNNNNNNNNNNNNNNNNNNNNNNNNNNNNNNNNNNNNNNNNNNNNNNNNNNNNNNNNNNNNNNNNNNNNNNNNNNNNNNNNNNNNNNNNNNNNNNNNNNNNNNNNNNNNNNNNNNNNNNNNNNNNNNNNNNNNNNNNNNNNNNCAGGAACGUUUAGACCAUUGCUGAGUGCCUUGCUGAUGAGGUGAUCAAUGCUGCUCAAGGCACGUCCAAUAGGUCAACUGCGGAUUCUUCUUCAGAAGCUGCAUCGAACGAACAAAAACCAAUCCGAGAGAAGAAUGAGUUUCACUCGAAGAUAAACACAACGUAUUCAAAGAUAAGUACAAAGGUUCCUAACCGCAGAUUAAAGUACUCAGGCGUUAGGCCCGAAGGAGUUUUAACGAUUACAAAAUCACUCGGCAUUCUGAGGCAAGUGAGGGUGAAGCAUAAUGUUUUUCAGUGACUCGGCGGGAGAAGGACUGGCUGGAUGGCAGAAGCUGUCAAGGUCGGUGCUGUCGGCAAUAUGAGUGGCUGCCUCAAGGAAGGUGUCCAUGAAGGACUAGAAGGAGUGCUUCUUAGUAUUAACUACCUUGAGGGCUGCCAGCUUGAAAUCUUUAGCCUCCUUGCAGUGCACUCGAACCAAUGACAAGGCGACAUCAGCACCAUAGCGAGCAGAUGACUUCUUCCACUCUUGUACUCGGCCAUGAAUCUGAUUGAGUCGAGUCAUCAGUGACUCGAGGUCUCGAGAAAGUUCCGCCUGAGGCCAGAGUUUGGCGUCCACUAGGGUCAUAGCAGCCUUUAGUCGAGCCAGAUAGUCAACAACACUGUCCAAGCGUGAUUCCAAUCGAAGCAAGUUCAUCGCAACUUCAUCUUUCACGGGACAAUUGAUGGGGUCGAGACCUGUCUCGACCCGCCCGGUUUCAGCUUCAAAGUCCUGACAAAGCUCUGUUCCAUCGUAAAAAACAAUGAGUCGACAAUAUUACAACAUACUUCAAUCGACACAAUUAACCAGUCGAGUGACCAAACCUUCAAGCUUCAGAACCAGUUUCACAGCAAGUUGUCCCAGAUAGGACUCUAACUUGCCUAUCUUGGCUCUGAGGCCUCCAACUUCAGUGGUCAGGUUCUCCAUGUCCUUCUUCAGUUGCUCUACUUCUCGAUUGGCUUCUAAGAUGGCGGUCUUCAACUUCGUGUUCUCCUCUUCCAACUUGCCGACUAAAGCCAGCUUCUGUUCUGCAAGCGUUGUCUUCUCAUGUGCUUCGUUCUAAGCAGCAGGAAGGUCCAGGUCCUUCUUCUCCAAAGCUUCCUUCAUUCUCUCUAAAGAAACAAUACUCUUCAGACGAACCUAAAGUUGGCGGUUUUCAUUACGCACAUCUGCUUGUGUGAAGUCAAUUGGUUCAAAGAGACUGAAAGAAAAAGCAGUGGAAGGUGCGAGCUACUAAGUAGGCAAGACAGUCGAAUGGUUACCUCCCAUGAUGGCCGUCUCUUGUCGAGAAGUCUUGAGGUUCUUCUUUGCGAGUUCAAGAUCUAGUUCAAUGCUGAUAUGCUUCUUCUUUAACUCGGAAAGUCGAGCUCCAAGAUCACAAGACCUAUGCAGUCACCAAGAGAGAUAUGCCAGUCGACAGAAAUAAGAGACAAUGACAGUGAAAACUUACUCCAAGACUACUGCCGAAUCAAAUAUUCAAUAGUAGUCUCGAGGACUACACCCAGUGGGUGUGCUUAGCAUGCCCCCACUGGUCCAGAUCAAUACUCAGCAGGGUAUGCCCAGCGUGAGUCAAAAAAAAAGAGAGAGAGUCGAUUCUAAGACCUCAGUCGACUGCCAGCAGUCGACCGUGGUCUCGGGGACUACACCCAGUGGGUGCACUCGGUGUGCCCCCACUGAUCCAGACAGUUUACUGAGACUCAGCUCGAGUCGAGUGGAGUGGAAGAUUUCCUAAACUCUAAACUAAGGCACACCCUAGUGGGUGAUCGGAUAUAAAACAACAUUCAAAAGUUCAGUCGGAGUUUGCUGACCUGAACAUUGGUUUGAAGGGCUGUGCUGGCAUUGUAAGCCACCUGACUAGCCUCGUGCAUUACCUUCACCUGCUCCAUGACAAGGUUCACCUGGAGAAGAGCCUCCUGGCGGCACUUGGCGAGUCGUCUGGGUCUGAUAGCGGUAAAGAGUGAUGGCUCCAAGGCAGUCGAAGCAGUUACUGGGUCAGACGCGUGGGGUUGCAUUGGAUUGACAGGAGUCUGUGUAGUCGAUGCCGACGGAUGAUCAGUCGUCACCGGGUCGACAAAUGUGACAUUGGUUCGAACCGGUUCUUCAGAACGGUCGACCACCGCCUAAAGCGCCGGCGUCAACUGAGGGACUUGAACUUCAAGCCUCCUCCUGCUUGAGCUCCCGCUCUUCUUCCUCCUCUCCUGUAGAGGCGCUUCUUCUUCUUCAUCAUCAGGGAGCAUGACGAUCUCUUGCAGAACUACAAAAAGGGAGAAAUAUCAGAAAUUCAGCCGAUUGACGACCCACUUGACUAAAUGAAACCUGGUCGAAUGGACUUACCAGCCCGAGAGGUGGCCUCCUCGUCUCCUGGUGCCUUGUCGAUGUCCAUGUUAGUAGAAGCAGAGGUGGGGCUAGAAAUAUACAUGAUCCAGUUGGUCAGAACAGAAAUUUCAGUCGGUCUGCAUAAACACAAGUGAGAUACUCACCCCGAAGUGACAUGGACAUUCAUCUUGAUCUGCGGCAAAGUCUUUCGAGCCUUGGGAGGAACAACCUUGAGCUGCUUGGCGACCUUCUCCGUGGGCUCCGGAGUCAACGUUCGAGUGCGCUUCUGAGUGUGGGUACUCGGAGCCACGUUCUUCCCGCGCCCGCCUGCCGGGUCAUGUUGCCACUUGGAUCGGCGCUCGGAACGUGGCGGCGAGUUGACUUCUUCCUCGUCGUCCAACUCCUCACUCUCCUCCUCCACCUCUUCAUCCGAAGAAUCCUAGUUGCCACUCUCUUUUGCGCUGGCCUCUCCCUCCUGGCCCUACUCUAGAGCUUGUUCGCCAUUGGGCAUCGAAUACAUCUCAGUGAAAACCUACAAGACAAAAAGUCAAGUAAAAGUCAGUCGACAUCAAGUACAGUCGCAACAUAUACGCCAGGAAGUCAGAAUAAAGAGCAUACCUUGUCGGGCGAAUUGUCGUCUCUGAAGGGGAUGACACGCCUGGAUCCUCUGGGAUUGUCCUAAUUGCCUGUGAUACUCUUCAACCACAUAGCCACGGUCUUGGACAUCACUUCCUCUGGAUGGACCCAAGCGGUUUCUUCAUGUCCGGAGUACAACCACAUAGGAUGGUCACAGGCCUGAAGAGGCUGGAUGCGUUGACUGAGGAACACUUCCAGCAGUUCCAGGCUGGUGACACCCUCAUUAAUAAGUUGGACCACUUUCUCCACCAACAUCUUCGUCUCCACGUUCUCAGCAGCCGUCACUUUGAGUGGAGAAGGAGUCUGAACAUGGUCGAAUGUGAAGUGGGGAAGGCCAGUCGACUGACCUGGAGCUGCGACGUCCUGGCAGUAGAACCAGGUCGACUGCCAGCCUCUAACCGAUUCAGGGAAAGUCAUAGCAGGGAAAGAACUCCUAUGCCUUUUUUGAAUACCUAAACCCCCACACAUUUGGAUGACAUGGGUAUUUCAGUCACUUGUUUUUGCUUCUUGACCGACUGGGAUCGGAUGGUGAAGAUGUGUUUGAAAAUACCCCAGUGCGGUCGACACCCCAAAAAGUUUUCGCACAUCGACAUGAACGCGGCCAGAUACGUGAUGGUGUUGGGAGAAAAAUGGUGGAGUUGAGCACUGAAGAAAUUUAGGAAUCCCUGGAAGAAGGGGUGCGGAGGGAGCGAAAAACCCCGGUCGACGUGGGUGGCGAGCAGUAAGCACUCACCCUGUCGAGGCUGCGACUCCAUCUCCCCCUUGGGCAGCCUUGCCGCUCCCUUGGCGAUCAGUCCAGACUCCGCCAGCUCGUCUAGAUCUUCUUGCCGGAGCGAAGACCAGAUCCAAUCGCCCUGGAUCCAGCCUGGCGGCAGCCCCGCGCGCGAUGACGACCCGCGGUUCUGCUUCUUGCCUUUUUCCGCCCCCUCGCCUUCUUUGCACCCUCCAGCACCGCCGUCUUGUCCUUCACCAUGGCGGCGGAGCGGCGCAUCGAGAGCAGAAGAGCCCGGUGUGGUGGAGAAGUGGAGGAAGAAGAAAGAGAAACAGGCGUGCAUAGUGCAGACGCCUCGGCCCCGUCGCCUUAUAAAGGGUUGCUUCCGAGUGGCUGACGCGUGGGACCAGGCGAUCCUGUCAAAUCCCGCAACAGUCGCGCGCAACGUACGUGGUGAAAAGCGCGACAUGAAAAUCGAGGCAUCACUAUGUCACGCCCAAUAUGUGACCCUAUCCUAAAGGAACUCAAAGGUCCCACCAAGGAUAGAAGCGCAUAUUGGAGAUGCUUUUGCAAGGUGGAUAUCAUUACAUCAUACCAUUACAUAAUAGUUGGGGAUACAUACAAAAGGCAUGCAAUGCCACAUGAAUACAACAUCAUACAUAAGAGCAACAUCCGACUACGGAUGAAACACAAACAGAAACUCAAACGACAUCCAUCCUGCUAGCCCAGGCUGCCGACCUGCAACCUAUCCCCUAAUCGAAAAAGAAGUAGAAGAAGAACUCCGAAACAAGUAAACAUGGCUCUCGCGUCAUGAUCAUAUCAUAACCUGUACCUGCAACUGUUGUUGUAGUAAUCUGUGAGCCACGAGGACUCAGCAAUCCCAUUACCAUGGGUAUCAAGACUAGCAAAGCUUAAUGGGUAUGGAAAAGAUAAGUGGUGAGGUUGCAGCAGCGACUAAGCAUAUAUGGUGGCUAACAUACGCAAAUAAGAGCGAGAAGAGAAGCAAACGGAACGGUCGUGAAGCUAGCAAUGAUCAAGAAGUGAUCCUAAACUCCUACUUACGUCAAUACUAACCCAAAACCGUGUUCACUUCCCGGACUCCGCCGAAAAGAGACCAUCACGGCUACACACACGGUUGAUGCGUUUUAAUUAAGUCAAGUGUCAAGUUCUCUACAACCGGAUAUUAAAGAAUUCCCAUCUGCCACAUAACCGCGGGCACGGCUCUCGAAAGUUUAUACCCUGCAGGGGUGUCCCAACUUAGCCCAUCACAAGCUCUUACGGUCAACGAAGGAUAUUCCUUCUCCCAGGAAGACCCGAUCAGUCUCGGAAUCCCGGUUACAAGAAAUUUGGACAAUGGUAAAACAAGACCAGCAAAGCCGCCCGAUGUGCCGACAAAUCCCGAUAGGAGUCGCACGUAUCUCAUUCUCUGGGCGCACCGGAUGAGCCAGACGUCCGGUUGGCAUAGACCCUGGUUGCCCAGGGGCGCGGACAUCGCUCGGUUUGGACCAGCACUCAGAGGAGCACUGGCUCGGAGGGGUAAAUAAAGAUGACCCUAGGGCUCCGAAAACCCAAGGGAAAAAUGCUUAGGUGAGGCAAAUGUAAAACCAAGGUUGUGCCUUGCUGGAGAAGUUUUAUUCAAAGCGAACUGUCAAGGGGGUCCCAUAAAUCACCCAACCGUGUAAGGAACGCAAAAUCGAGGAACAUAACACCGGUAUGACGGUAACUAGGGUGGCCAGAGUGGAACAAAACACCAGGCAUAAGGCCGAGCCUUCCACCCUUUACCAAGUAUGUAGGUGCAUUAAUUAAAUAAGAGAUAUUGUGAUAUCCCAACACAAUCCUGUCCAUCAUGGAGCAAUCUUCAACUUCACCUGCAACUAACAACGCUAUAAGAGGGGCUGAGCAAAAGCGGUAACAUAGCCAAUCAACGGUUUACUGGGAAGGGUGAAAAAGGCUAGAGGCUGACAUGGCAAAUUGGAGGCUUGAAGAACAAGUGAUAGGUAGCGCAUCAUAGCGAUAGAACGAAGCAACUAGCAUAGCAAUGAUAGUAGUGAGAUAUAGGGUAGCGGUCAUCUUGCCUGAAAUCCCGCUAGGAAGAAGAACGUUUCCAUGAAGAAGACGAAGCCAUGAAGACGAACCAAGCGUAGAUGAAUGUAUCCUCACGAUCACAACGAAAUAGGAACUAACGAGAAGGAGCACAACCGGAAAGAAGCAAACAGCAGGGCAAACACACAACACAAACAUGGCAUGAUGCUCAACCAAGUAUGAUGCAUGACAAAGGCUAUAUGAUGCUACUCAUGGCAAGAUAUGAUGCAUACAAGAGCAACACAUCAAGGCAAGUUUAAAUGAGGCCGGAAACAACAUAUAACAAUUUCGGUAAGUCCUCAUAUGCAAAUUUCAAAAUUGGUCCAGAUCUGAAUAAACCUUGUGCUCAAGUUGUUAAACAGCAAGUUAAGAUGCACCAAGAUGAUCUACAUGAAAUUCUUGUCAGGUUUCAUAUAAAGUUCAUUUAGUUCGGAGCUACGGCCUAGAAGAUAUGAGCAAAACAAGUUAAACAUGGCAUUGAUACAAAAAGCAUACAAACAUCAAGCAAAAACAUUCAAAACAUGGAUGCAACAAGGUAACAUGAAAACUAUAUGCAAAAUUAAGCAACUUUCAUAUAGAGCACACUCAAAACGGAGCAACGGUUCAACACAUACACCCGAAACAAGUUUAAAGGACAAGCUGUCCAAAACAGCAACUAGGCAUCUGGAAAGCAUCAAAACAAUAUGCUACAGCACCUCAACAUGAAAACAAAAGGCAUGGACAUGAUGUACAGGUAAAUCAUGACAAAACAUGAACACUGAGCUAUCUCCAGAAAUCACUAGAACAUGCCCAAAAGGACAUGGAAAGAUUGCAAAUAAUAACAGUUUCACAGACGGCAGAAAAUCACUGAGCAUGACAGAAAUAACAUCAGGUUGCAAUGUUUAGAACAUCAAAUAACAUGCUACAUGAACUUAUCUUGGCAAACAAAGGCAUGGCAUGCUAUUACGAAAAGAAAUUAACAAAACUCCCUUACUGAACUUAUUCCAAAGAUCAACAGAAAAGAUGGUAGGAUCCAUGCAAACAUGGCAAGUGAUAUGACAGAUUCAGAAUAACAAUACAUGACAGGAACAACGAUAAGUAGGCAUGUUGGUGAGCUUGUACCACUGACCACAGAGAAAUACAUGGCAUGACAAAGUGACCAACAGUAAGAAGACACAUUUUUGAAGCUAAACAUGGCAGUAUCAUAGUAAUAGAGUGCAUGGAUCACUAGCAAAACACAUGGCAAAACAGAACUUAAUGUUAACAGGCUAACAACAACAUUAUUUAGCAACUUUGGAGCAUGAUUACAACAAGCUACAGCAGGCUAGAAAUGAAACCAAGGGUAUGGAUGGAUAGAUCAUAACCUGUAGAAUAAAACAUCCUUAUUGAACAUCUCUAGAUUAUGCAUAGAAUGACUUGUAGCAGAAAGUUUACAUAACAUCACGAUAUAACAGAUUCAGCCUAGCAAAAAAGUAACAACAAGUGCCCUACUACACAAGCUUGAUGCACUCACUACAAGGCACACAAAAAUACAUUGAUUGAACCACUAUAAAUAUGGCAUGAUGUAUCUCAAAACUCAUAUGAUAGUCAAGCUCAAAGGAUUCACACAAAAAAUGCAAUGAAAAAGACAAAUCACCAAGUUCUAUUAACAGACAACAGUUAACAUCAUAUAUCACUCUUGCAAUGAUGAUUCGGGCAUCAAGAUUGACUCAAAAAAGCAUGGCACAAUGGAAUGAAAUGUAGAGCAUCUCUUUCUGAACAUUUCAAUAUAUUAUAUGCACACAACGGAGAAGCACAAAAGAAGUUAUGGCAUGACGAACAUGGCAACAUAAUAUGCAAAUCUCAGGACUUAGCAGAAAUUAUACCCCCGAAAACUGGACGGGACGGGUCGGGACGAGGAGAUCCGGGGCGCGGGGAGGCCGUUUGGUUGGCGGGGCGAGGAUGUCCAGGGUCCGGCUUGGACAACACUGUGCCGGGAUGACGCGGACGCGGGAUGACGAGGUGCACCCUCGCGUUUGGGUGGAGGGUCGAGCAGAUCCGGGUCAAGACAAUCCCGGCGGUGGGGAUUCCGGCGACGAGGCAUGCGAAGAGGCGGCAACGCCGACGAGGGUGGGGCGGACGGAUCCGGGGUGGAGGCGCCCGAUCCGGUGACGACGACGGCCAGCGGCAGCGUCUGGCGCUCGGCGAUGCGGCGACUGUGCUGAAGUGCGGCGGCGCGGCUAGCGGAGGAGUGACGGCGCGGACGAGGUCGAGAGGCGGCGCGGGUGAAGCGAGCUCACGGCAGCGGGAUCCGCUGGAGACGAGGCGGCGGUGGUCGGCGAUCUGGCGGCGGGGCGGCGAGGCCCUGGUCGCUGGCGGUGGGGUCCAGGAGCUCGGGCGACUCGAGGAGGAUGUGAGCACUCGGGCGCGGGAGGCUGGGGCGGCUUCUGGCCCAGAUGGGCUUGGUGGGCCCCGAUCUGGGUUCCGCGGGCUGCGGCAGCGGGGGAGCAGGCUAGGGCGAUGUGGCACGCAGGGAGAGGUGGAGGGCGACGGCGUAGUGGCGGCUGACCACUAGGGCAGCGCCAAGUGGCGGAGGGAGGCUGGUCGGCGCCGGAAAACAAGGGGGAGGCGGCGGCUGAUGAUUGGGGCGCGAUUUUCGAGGAGGGGGUGGUGGUUGCGAGGUGAAAGAAGGCUAGGGGUAGGUGGAGGCUAGGGGUAGGGGAUGCCCAAAAUGGACUAGGGGGUACCAUAUAUAGCAGGGUGUCGAAUUUCGUGUUCCGGCAGACCCUUGAGGUUCGAGCACUAGGGUGCACGCGGGGAUUUCGCCCUCUAUCCACCUGCUCCUCGCCGAAUUGCUAGGAUCUAAACUACAUCAAGAACAACACAAGAGACACAAGGUUUAUACUGGUUCAGGCCACCAUUGUGGUGUAAUACCCUACUCCAGUGUGUGGUGUGGUGGAUUGCCUCUUGGGAUGAUGAUGAACAAUACAAGGGAGAACUGCCUCACGAGGGUCAAUUCUUGGCUGGUGCGAUAAACUGCUAGGAGGAGUUCAGUCGCCCUUAUCUCUCUCUCUCUUUCUUGAUUCUAGAUGUAUGUCAGGUCCUCCCUCUACCCUGGGGGUGGCUAGUCCUAUUUAUAGGCAAAGGCACUGGGCCUCUCCCCAAAUAUUGAGCGGGAAGGGCGCCAACAAUUGGCCAUUUUGAAGGGGAACAGCGGGUACACUUAUACUGACUAAAGUUGGUCCUCGCCUGUCAAAGGCUCUGGUGGUGAUGCCUGCUUGGGCUGCACAAUGACUUCCUCGCUGCCGUUGGCCUGGUCUUUGUCUCGUUGCACCAAAAUGGAUGCCUUUGCUGGAUGCUCUCGCCUGCGCUUGCUCCCUUUGCACCAAAGAGGAAAGGAGGACACUGCGCGGGCUGGCGCCCGACUGGCGCCUUGGUCUUCAUGGCCUGCAUCAUGGGCACCUCGCGAGGUACCCCGCCUUGAACUCUCCGCCUCCUCGUGAGCCAGCCUGAUGAGGCUGUGCCUGAAGAAGCUCCUUGUCGUCCGCCCCAUGAGGCCUGGCCCCUCGCGAGGGUCUUGAGCCUGUGUUGAUGAAGAUGGGCCGCGCUGGGCCCCCUUUGAGCCACGCCGCAGGCCGCAGGCAGGCAAGUCUGGGGACCCCCAUUCCUAGAACGCCGAUAGUAGCCCCCGGGCCCACGGCGCGCCCGGACUUGGCCGAGCAGAGUAGCGAAAGGGCAAGUGCGAAGCGUCGCGGGCCCUAACAGCCUGCGGCGUUGGGCGCCGCAUGGCGGUUGAUUGGAUGUGGGCGGCACCGUUCCCCCACGCUUCCUUAUUUUAUGCCAUGCUAGGCGGACUCGUAGCCGCACACAACAGCUCCCCUUUCCGCUGCUCGAGCGCUCUCUGUCCUUUCUCCUCUCGAACUCCAGUUUACACAUCCAAUCCAAUCUCGAACCUCCCCCCUUCUCUAUCGUCAUGGCUCCACCGAGGAAGGGAAGAGGGAAGAAGCCCAUGCCGCCGCCUCACUCAUCGUCGUCGGUGGCCCCCGCCAUCGAUCGGCCGAUCAUAAUCAAUCAAGAGGGCUUCAGCAAGGUCAGCUCGGCUCUGGCCACCAUCUUAAACGAAUGCGGGAGGACGACGGCCUGGCCCGCGUCCCGCUUCUCCAUUGACAGGAUUGCCACUAAGGUCCGAUACUUCGUCAAUGCCCUAUGGGAGGGACUGGUUCGCCCCUUUUCUGAUUUCUUCAAAGCCGUGCUCUCCCAUUAUCAGAUCCAUAUGAUGCAUCUAGGUCCUGAAUCCAUCACUCUUCUCGUGGUUUUCGCCUUCGUUUGUGAGGCAAUGAUGGGCAUCCUUCCUUCGGUUGCCUUGCUGCGCCACUUCUUCUCUCUGCGCCUUGUCGACCCCACCCAAUGUUCGGGGUGCGUGAGCUUCGUCGCUGCGCCUGAGGCAGCGGCUUCAGGAAUUGACUUCAGUCUUCCUCCGCCCGCGCCAGGGUUUCGCGAGUGGUGGCUGUAUGUGGACGUAGGAGUGCCCAGCCCCCUGCUGAUGGAGCCAUCUUCGCCUGCUGUCCCCAACACAGGCUGGGGCCAGGAGACGCUCAUGAGUCCCCGGCUCGCCUUUGUCUGGCGUCGCUUCGAGUUCUUGAGGGAGCUUGGCGUGACGGUGCCCAAGGUGGUGAAGGAGUUCCUGCUACACCGUGUUGCCCCUCUCCAACGCCAUUCCCACCGGAUGUGGGCCUUCAGCGGGCGUGGGGAUCGAAUGAGGCUCCAAGAAGAGGACCUGACGCCUGAAGCACUGAGGAAGGUGCUCUUGGUCUUAACUGGGGAUCCUUCCCCCGGCAGCAUCCGGCAAGGGGGGGGGGGGGCUUGCUGUACCUCUGCUCGAAUAGAGGUGACUUCGUGAGUCAGAUGCCCAUCUGCGACGAAUGGGGGCCGCACCCUGCUGGCCUCCAGGGGCCUCGCGAGAACCCAGUGGUGGUGGUCGCCCUUGUAUUCGGCCAAGGUGACUCUUCCUCAAGUGGUGGAGUAGGGAGGCAUGAGCCUCCGGAGGCCGAGGGUGCCCCCGCCGAGGUGACAACGCCGGGCGGCACUCACGAGAGAGCAACCCCUGAGGCCCGUGCUGUCGUGGCUGAAGGCGGAGAGCAGCAGCCCGCAAUGCCCGCGGCUGAGGCCCCCAAGGCCCCAGCUGCUCUUCUUGGUGAGGCGACUGGCGGCGCGCAUCAGGCAGGUGCCCCUGACGGGGGUCGUCCUGGUGCUUCCUCCUCGCUGCAAGCUGACCCCUGCGCUCAACUCUUGGGUCACUUUCGCAUGGACUUUGAGGCCGUCCGGAAGAGAAGGGAGGCCCUGGGCGAUGAUCACCCUUGCCGCCUGCUGAAGCGUAGGAAGUCAUUCGCCAUCGAUGAGUAAGCCUUCUCCCUUCCCUGCUCCAGAUUCUUCUGUUGCCUUUCCUGAUCCUUGUCCCACAGGGCCCUUCCUUCCGAGCUCAUUGAGAUGACUGAGGAGCCAUCCCCCUUGCCUCCGCCCUCUCCGCCGUCUUCGAUCGUUCCGAGCAGCAAGGCCCUUGUGGUGAGGCCGGUUGGAGACACGAACCAUCCCGAGGUGCAACGCGGCCCUGUGCUCCCCGUGACCUUUCUUCGCGAGCCUUCUCGUGGCAUAGCCAGCCUGCCGUGGGCUUCUCGUCUGGUCGUGGACCGUGAUUGGCUGGGGUACUCCCUGCGCUCUUCACUUGGAGAUGGACUGGCUCCAGGUCGGGCUUCUGGUAGGGCGUGCCCGGUCGCCUCAAGGGCGCCAGCCCCUAGCCCGGAGGGGGAGUGCUGAUCCGUGCCCCUCGGCGCUUGCUUGGGGCGGAUGAUGGUGUGGAAGACGUACUCGAGCGCGCCCGGGAGCGUCGCGCUCUUCGCCAAGGGUUUGUCCGGAGGGCGGCUGACGCGGUGAGCCUGCUUGGUGAAGAGCUCACUGGUGAGGACACGCGCCUUGAGGCCGAGGGCCUGCGCCUGGUUGCAGGGAGGCGCGAGCUAGAGGCGGCUGUCGCCCUCGCGCGCCGUCAGCACGAUCUCGACGAUGAGGAGGCCAAGGCGUCGUUGGCGGCCUCUCAGGAGGUCCGUUCCCGGGCCGUCGAAGAAGCCCGGGAAGCUGACCGGUGGCGAGAGGCCACAGAGGAGCGGGCACGGGAACUCCUGGCCCGGUGCCGCUCAUUGGAGGAGCAGGUGGAGCUGCAUGAGGCGGCCCUCGCAUCGAUGAAGGUGGCCUCCGGCGACCCAGCGGAGCUCCAGAAGCGUGAGGAGGCGCUGACGCUGGAAGCCGCCAAACGCGCACAUGAGUAUGAGCGCCUGGAGACAAGGGAGCGCUUGGUGACAUGGGCGGAGGACGAUGUCGCUGCGUGGGAAACCCGCGUCUCGGAGGAGGUCGGACAUCGGGUGGCGACAGCGCGCCUGAACCUCGAGCGCGAGUUCGAGGAGAGGCUGGAGUUGAUCCGGACUGAGGCCGAAGGUAGGACCACCGUCCUGAGGACCAAGCUGGAGGAAGCAACGUGGCGGGUUGAUGCUUUGCGGGCCGCACUCGAGGUGGCGGAAGGGGAGUCAACUACUUCCCACGCCGAGGCGCUUCUUCUUCGCCAACGGGUGGACGAGGCUGAGGCCGUCGCAUGCCAGAAUGCGGACGAGAUACGUCAGCGGUGGCUCCUAGAACAUUAGCAUGCCCCCAUGCUCACCACGCUUCGGGAGAGAGCCAACACGGCCUUGGGUAACAUCUGCGAGGCGGCCGUUGGCGAGCCGCACGCCGUUAACUACGCCGGCAACCUUCAGUUUUUCACCGACAUCGUGACGCAGCUGGAGGCACAGUCGGUCAAGGCCAACAGGUUGGUGGAGGAGAGGAGCGAGCCCUGCUCGAGCGCGCCUUUUCCCGCAUCUUCAGCCAUCUCCGGAACAUGGAUCCUCACUUCGAGUUAGAUGCUGCCAUCGCCCCAGUCCCCCAGGCCGUCCGGGACGACCUGGCGUACUAGGUGCAAGACAACGUGGACGCUCUUGUCAGGGCCUUCGCUUCAGAUGACGAUGACGCGAUCGUGGCGGCCAACAAGGGCGGCAUGGUGAACGGCCCUGACGCCGCCGACGACAAUGCAGAGGGCGAUGGUGAGGCCAGCGACGCCAGCGACAGUUCGCGCGGUGUUCCUGAGGAUGCAUUGGGGGAUUUAUCCGACUGACAGCGCAUUGCUCCUGUUUCCUUACCCUGCAUGAACAGAACUCAGGCUUUUGUCCUGAUGGUUGUAAGAGCAUUUUUGGGAGGGGGUUCCUGUCGGUGUCAAAACCGGCGGAUCUCGGGUAGGGGGUCCCGAACUGUGCGUCUAGGCGGAUGGUAACAGGAGACAAGGGACAUGAUGUUUUUACCCAGGUUCGGGACCUCUCGAUGGAGGUAAAACCCUACUCCUGCUUGAUUGAUAUUGAUGAUAUGGGUAGUACAAGAGUGGAUCUACCACGAGAUCAAGGAGGCUAAACCCUAGAAGCUAGCCUAUGGUAUGAUUAUUGUUGUGUCCUACGGACUAAAACCCUCCGGUUUAUAUAGACACCGCAGAGGGCUAGGGUUACAUAGAGUGGGUUACAAUGGUAGGAGAUCCACAUAUCUGGAUCGCCAAGCUUGCCUUCCACGCCAAGGAAAGUCCCAUCCGGACACGGGACGAAGUCUUCAAUCUUGUAUCUUCAUAGUCUUGGAGUCCGUUCGAUGAUGAUAGUUCGGCUAUCCGGACACCCCCUAGUCCAGGACUCCCUCAGUAGCCCCUGAACUAGGAUUCAAUGACGACGAGUCCGGCGCGUAUAUUGUCUUCGGUGUUGCAAGGCGGGUUCUCCUCCAAAUUCCAUGUGCUUGCCGAAUAGUGUCCGGCUUCCUUAUAAAUGUUGCGCUCCUUGGCUUCCACGUCCAAUAAUAGCCCUCUUCCACGUGUCGUAUGAAUGCGAAAAGCCAGGGUAUUUUUACGUUUUACCCCCUAGCUGUGCAAAUAAGCUGCCUAUAAGAGGAGCAAGGAUCUAGAUCCAAAUCACACCAUCCUCCUUCCGCGAGUACUCACCGAAGCGCCACUGACAAAAAUCCAUUCCAUCAUGGACAGUUGACGCGGUUCCUCCGCUCGCGCUCCCAGCCCUCAGCCCGGAGAUUGGAGGAGAUGUUCAGUCCCGCAUAGCGAGCUAGUGACGCUCCAGGCUGAGGGAUACUGCCGGUGUCAAAACCGGCGGAUCUCGGGUAGGGGGUCCCGAACUGUGCGUCUAGGCGGAUGGUAACAAGAGACGAGGGACACGAUUUUUUUACCCAGGUUUGGGCCCUCUCGAUGGAGGUAAAACCCUACGUCCUACUUGAUUAAUAUUGAUGAUAUGGGUAGUACAAGAGUGGAUCUACCACGAGAUCAAGGAGGCUAAACCCUAGAAGCUAGCCUAUGGUAUGAUUGUUGUUGUGUCCUACAGACUAAAACCCUCCGGUUUAUAUAGACACCGCAGACGGCUAGGGUUACAUAGAGUGGGUUACAAUGGUAGGAGAUCCACGUAUCUGGAUCGCCAAGCUUGCCUUCCACGCCAAGGAAAGUCCCAUCCGGACACGGGACGAAGUCUUCAAUCUUGUAUCUUCAUAGUCUUGGAGUCCGUUCGAUGAUGAUAGUUCUGCUAUCCGGACACCCCCUAGUCCAGGACUCCCUCAGUAGCCCCUGAACCAGGCUUCAAUGACGACGAGUCCGGCGCGUAUAUUGUCUUCGGCGUUGCAAGGCGGGUUCUCCUCCAAAUUCCAUGUGCUUGCCGAAUAGUGUCCGGCUUCCUUAUAAAUGUUGCGCUCCUUGGCUUCCACGUCCAAUAAUGGCCCUCUUCCACGUGUCGUAUGAAUGCGAAAAGCCAGGGUAUUUUUACGUUUUACCCCCUAGCUGCGUGAAUAAGUUGCCUAUAAGAGGAGCAAGGAUCUAGAUCCAAAUCACACCAUCCUCCUUCCGCGAGUACUCACCGAAGUGCCUCUGACAAAAAUCCAUUCCAUCAUGGACAGUCGACGCGGCUCCUCCUCUCGCGCUCCCAGCCCUCAGCCCGGAGAUUGGAGGAGAUGUUCAGUCCCGCAUAGCGAGCUAGUGACGCUCCAGGCCGAGGGAUACUGCCGGUGUCAAAACCGACGGAUCUCGGGUAGGGGGUCCCGAACUGUGCGUCUAGGCGGAUGGUAACAAGAGACGAGGGACACGAUGUUUUUACCCGGGUUUGGGCCCUCUCGAUGGAGGUAAAACCCUACGUCCUGCUUGAUUAAUAUUGAUGAUAUGGGUAGUACAAGAGUGGAUCUCCCACGAGAUCAAGGAGGCUAAACCCUAGAAGCUAGCCCAUGGUAUGAUUGUUGUAAUGUAUGUUGUCCUACGGACUAAAGCCUUCCAGUUUAUAUAGACACUGGAGGAGGCUAGGGUUACACAGAGUCGGUUACAAUGGUAGGAGAUCUACAUAUCCGUAUUGCCAAGCUUGCCUUCCACGCCAAGGAAAGUCCCAUCCGGACACGCGACGGAGUCUUCAAUCUUGUAUCUUCGUAGUCUUGGAGUCCGGCGGAUAUUGAUAGUCCGGCUGUCCGGACACCCCCUAGUCCAGGACUCCCUCAGUAGCCCCCGAACCAGGCUUCAAUGACGAUAAGUCCAGCGUGUUUAUAGUCUUCGGCGUUGCAAGGCAGGUUCUCCCUUCAAAUUCCAUGUACCUGCCGAACAGUGUCCGGCUUCAUCUUGAAUACUGUGUUCCUCGGCUUCUACGCCAAAUAAUGGCCCUCUUCCACGCGUCGCACGAAUGCGAAAAGCCAGGGUGUCUUUUGCAUUUCACCCCCUAAUUGUGCGAGUCGCCCGCCUAUAAAAGAGGCAAGAAUCCAGAUCCAAACCACACCGUCUUCCUCCCGCGAAUACUCCAUCG